UACCCAAAAUUAAAAGUGGCAGUCUUACACGAUCUGAUCAUUACUUGCCCCAAACUCAAGGCAAAAGUUUACAAGGUAGUAGUACAUGAUUGAUGAUACAUAAGUUUUGCUCCAUAAAAAAAGGACCGAUUAGAACGCAUGUGAUUUUCACGAGGAAAACCACUUGAUUCGUAUGUACAGAAAAACGGUGGAAACCCCUGUAGACUGACCCGGCAAACAAGCAUCAUCAGUGCAUGGAUACUGGACCAAAAACACCAUAAGAAAUUAAAGAGAACGGAGCAAGCGAGCAAUCAGCCAGCUAGUACUAGUACAUAUAUAUUGUACAGCCGUGAUCUGGUCGGAGAUGAGACGAUGACCCGCCGGCGGCGGCCGGCCGGCGCGGCGGAGGCCCAUCGAUCGAUCACUUGGGCCCCCAAAGCAGCAGGUGCAUCACCUUGUCCGCCUUGCCGCCGCCGUCCGCCGCGCGCCGCCCCGCCGUUGCCGCCGGCGUGGCCGCGGCCGCGGCCGCGCGGGGUACCCGCAGCUGCUGGCCGGCGUCGCGCGCCAGCGCACGCAGCGUCGCCGGGAGCUCCCACCUGCUCUCGCGCCCGCUGCUCAUGGCGAAUCAACCACCGCUUUCUCCUUGGCCCUUCUUGCUAUGCUAUCUAGCUCGUGCUGCUCAUCCUCAGUCCGGUCUCUUCUCUCUCCCAGCCACCUCACCUAGCCUCUUAUACUGCCACUGCACUACUCCUGGUCAUGAGUCACACACAAUUUUACAUUUUAGCCUUUUAUGAACAUUUAUUUUAUAAAUAGAUCUUUAAAAAAAACUUAAUCUUUCCAUCCAGAAAUAUAAUAUGGUACUGAAUAUGACACAUUCCAGCAUCAUGACGAGUUUGGACAGAUAUCUUACAACUAAAAUAUAUCCAAUACUACCUUCAUUCUAAAAUGUAGCUAUUUCUAGCACAGUACUUUGUCCCAAAAUGAAGCUAUUUUUCUACCUACCUUCCCCUCUCAACCAAUCACAACCAUUCUUUUUCACCUACUUUCUCUUUUCAACCAAUCACACACCUUCUUCAAUUAUUCUCACAUACUUUCUUAAUACCCGUGCUAACCUCAAAAAUACUUACAUUUUGGGACGGAGGAAGUAUGAUACAAGAUUGCUAUAUCAUGUAACAGAUGAAAUAUUCUGUCACCGAGCUACAGGUUUGAAUAUAACAAUCUAAAGAUGAGAUACUAGUACUAUAUAGUUAGAAUAGACUCCUUUCCGCUCUCUCGGAGAGACUCAUAGCUCUAGUUCUACAUUUUUAUAAUAUGUAACGAAGAGAUUAAGUCCUUGGUUAGUUUGGGAAAAAUUUUAGAUUUGGUUGGUAUAUUGGAUAUACGGACACAUAUUUAAAGUAUGAAACAUAGUUUAAUAAUAAAACAAAUUACAGAUUUCGUCAGAAAACUGCGAGAUGAAUUCUUUAAGUCUAAUUAAUUCAUCAUUAGCAAAUAUUUACUGUAGCACCACAUUGUCAAAUCAUGGCGCAAUUAGGUUUAAAAGAUUCGUCUCGUAAUUUACACGUAAACUGUGUAAUUGGUUAGUUUUUAUCCACAUUUAAUAAUUCAUGCAUAUAUCUAAAUAUUCAAUGUGAUGGGUGAAAUUUUUUGUUUUGAGAGCUAAAAAGGGCCUAAGUUUUUUAAGGAUUUAUUUAUAAAAUAUGUUUUCAGAAAAUGGCUAGUGUGAAAAGCCCAGUCCUGAGUCACCUCCUGCAAACUGCAAUCAACAGGGGCAAUAAUAGUCAGCAAUAAAUAUCAGCCACCAUGAUUGAUGAACCCCUCCAAAAUCGAGUGGCCGAGAGAUACCCAAAGACGGGAUUUUUAUCCCGCACCCAACGCCUCGGCGCGGGAUCACCACGCGCUUGGCGAUCAGUGCGUACAGCGAUCGCGAUCGCCGGUGCGCGCGGGGGUGUAUAAUUUUCCACGGCGGCGAGGGGAGGGGAGGGGAGGUCGUGGAUGCGGCGAGGCGGGCGGUCGGUGUCGGGAAAGGGGCGUGGAGUAAUGCGCGUGUUUGAAAAACGGGGUCUCUCGACCAAUCCGGAAUGAACCAGUGGUUGGAUUUGGGCUCGUUCUUCCGGUAAAGGGCAUGUUAAGAGAAGUUUUUAACCAGCUGCAGGUUCUCUCGGAUUCUUUAGCUAUCCCAAAUAGUCCGCAUUAUUAUUUGGAUUCAGAUUCUGGUAAUAUAUAAUUGUAAAAUCUAAAAAAAUAAAAUAGAAACUGUAUUAAGCUGAAAAACCAAGUUUCUUCAGGUUAUAAGAAGCUGACUAUCAAACUAAGCUGGCUAUCAAACAGUAGAUUUAAGCUCCCUGAACAGGGUUUUUGUUGUGGUAGGGUUUUUGUUCCAUUGUUUGUUAUAUGUCACAUAAAUAGUUAGAAAAAUAACAAGUUAGAUUCAUACAAGAUAUAUCCGUUUAAAUUCAACUUCUAUAAGUUAUAAUAAAAAAACACAAAUAUAAUUGUGAAUUUACGUUAACUCGUUUGAAUUUAAUAUGUUCUUUUAGUUAUAACUUGAAGAAGUGAAAUUUAAAAUUGCAUUUUGUGAGACGAUAUAUCCCAUAUUAAUUUAUUUUAUAAUUUUUUUCUUAAAUUUUUCAGUGUCCAUUUUGAUGAGAUACAAUAAACAAGCAGAUGUUUGGAGUAGGGGUGGACAUUCGGUCUGACCGAAAAUUUCGGUCUCGGUCUUUGGUCUUUAAAAAGUAAAGAUCAAAUUUCAAUGCAAAAAUAUCAGGACCGACAAAUUCAGUCUCGGUCUCGGUCCUGACCCAAAUUCAACAACACUUUCAUAUACGCAAAGAAGCAAUGGAAAUUUUCAAUACAAAAAUCACAGAAAAAAUGUAAGCACUUAUGAGUAAAUACUCUUAUUAGGUUGUAUGCCUAGAAGAAGUAGGAUGCGAAAAAUAGAGUUUAAUCCUAUUGAACAUAGUGAUUGUAUGUUACAUUUAUACUUUUUUUUUUGUUAAUUCAGUCUUUUUGGUCUAUUCGGUGAGACUAACCGAAUUGACCAAAUAAAAUUCGGUUUUUCACUUUCUAGGAUUGAAUUUUUCGGUCUCGGUCUUUUUGGUUCGGUCUUUUUCUGACCACCGCUACUUGGAGGAUGAAAAUCCAUCUCCCGACACAAGUCCCAGCCAGGACGCACUAAGCACUGGAAACAGCUGUGGGAGCUGGAGUACCUUGUAGUCUCGUCCUUUGCUCUAUGCCUGCGGUGACAAUGUGAGGCUAUGAGCAGUAAGCUGGUGUAAAUAAUUGAGUUAGACAAGUCAAUAGAAAUUAGUAGAAUUAAGUAGUAGGAGUAAUGGUAUGUAUGCUUCCGGUCAUAAGGAUUUAACUUGUAAGAUAAAGGCUAAUCAAACUUUUCGUAAGAUCUUGACCAUUAGUAUUGCCGUAAACCUACUAUACUUACAAACUUUUUAAAACAUAUAAUUGUUGUUUAUAGUGUUUGACAAAAUGUCAUCCUAAACGUCAAAGCAACAACUUGUUUAUUUGGUUGACAAAACAGUCUAAAUGCCCUUCAAAACUUUGACCGAGGGUGCAUGUAGCCUCUUUUCUGGAUAAAUUAACAGGAUCUGCUUAUAUGUAGGAGAGUUCACUGGCCUGUUAGAGCCAAUGUGCUUGAGAUUGUUGAUGUGCUCCGUAUUGAAGAAGUGGUUUCGGAUGGUCCAAAAUGUAACAAAGAAAAACUUAUCUAAUCCAAAUUAAAAAGACUGAGUAAAUAAUAGUUCAAAAUAAAAUUUUAAAAAUAAAAGAUGAUCCAAAGUGUAAUUCGCUAAAAAGAAGAAGAAAUCAAGAGGAGAAGAAGAAAAGUACGUAUAAGAACCGCCAAACCUGGAUGCAUAUCACUACCAUUCAGGUAAUACCGCCUUCCUAACCUAUAUGUGUGUAAGUACGUACGUGCGUAAAAGAAAAGUAGAGAAACGCUCAAGGGUUUUCCGACUAGUUUCACAAGGUGGUGGACUAGACGACCUAGAUUCGAAGCCUUACCCAUUCUAAUUAUUUGACAUUAUGUCCUUCCCUAAUAUUCGACCUGAGUUCAAAGCCUCACAUCUUCUAAUUAUUUGAUAUUAUUAGGUCCUUCUAUAAUAUUCGACCUGGGUUCAAAGCCUCGCUCAUUCUAACUAUUUAAUAUUAGGUUCUUCCGUAAUAUUCGUGAUUUUUAAAAAGAAUAGUACGUUUUGAAGAAGAAGAAGAAGAGAGUAGUACUUAGGAACCACCAACGAUCCCCUCCUAUUCGUCCCUAGACUUCUCUCCUCUUUUUUCUCUCUAUUUAUUUUUAAAAAGUCUCCUCUCCUUUUUAUGGUGUAGUUGGCUCAGCAAUAACCAUAGCUGCUAAACUACAAAUUUAAUUUCUAAUUUAUUUCAAUAAUUGUAUUUCUCAUGAUUAAAUCAAUAAUUUAAGAUUAUGAAAAACAGAAAAUGAACCAACACUAUAGCUGUGUGUACAUCAUCCAAUUAGUCUAAAAAAUUCAAGAUAACUUUGCCAGAGUAGACGGCUAAAUUACCACAAUUCAGGACACAUGUAUGUUUUGAAAAAAAAUAGCUUGUAGAUCUAAUAAUUAGAGAAAUUUUAUAACUUCUAAGGGAAAAAAACAAAUAUUAACCAUUGGUUUUCACUUAAACCGGUGGACCUAUAGUUACCACUAGAUUAUGUAUCUAGGAAACAACCGGCUAAUCCCACCUUCUUAAUCCCAAUCCUGUACGUAAGUACAUAUUUAUGCGUGUAAAAGAAAAGUACAUACUUACGAAGUACUGCCAAACCCCAUUCCCGUGCAAUUCGUUCCGUUUGACUCCCCUGCUUUCUAUACGGCAUAGUUGGCUAGUCGGCUAUUUUCUCGAGUAAGUAUCUUCUUGAGUAGGUAAGAAAUAGCCAACUUUGCCAUAUAGAUAGGAAGGGAGUCAAAGCGAGCGAAUUAUUUGCAUUGGCACGGACUAUGGAUAAAGGCGUCGCGGGGUACACAAGGACGACGACGAACAAAAACGGAUUGUGACGAUCGGAAAAAAUGUGUAUCAUUCAAUUUUAAGAUGAAUUCCAAACUAAAAUUGGUAACUUGCUAAAGAUUCGAUGUAAAUUAUAUAAUACAAGAAAAUAAUAUUAUAUGACUUAACUAGGCUAGAAAAAAACUUAGUACUCUAUACAACAUAAUUUUAUCGUGGUAUUAACAUAUUCGUUAUAGUCAUCCAUGUGAGCGGUUUAAUAUAUACAACUAAAAUUGCCUUUCCCCAUUGCAACACACAAACUUUUUUCCUAGUCUUUUUUUUAUUAAUUUAGUAAAAUUUAUCUGAAAAAUGACUGCAUAUUAGUGUUUUGUAUAUAUAUUAGUGAUUUUAAAUGUUGAGGUUUGAUUUAUGGUACGUCUCAGAUAUACACAAUAUCGUAUUAAAGAGAGGGAUACGUGUGAGAUUACAUAGCUAUAAAUACGAUUUGGACCGUUCACCUACAAACUACUAUACUUCCACUAUUUGAUUGCAUGGCUCGGGAUAAUAAGGUUGAAGGACAACAAAUUGGCCUGUGAAACAACAGUUAAUUUGAGUUAAUUAAUCUUAGUAUUUUUAUUUUUAAAACGAAAUUAAUCUAGAUUUUUUAACCUAUAACAUGGCUAGCUAGUGACCAGCGACAAGCUUGAACGGAGUAUACAACCGCUUAGAGCAGGUACAAUGCUAUAAGCCACCUAUAAACACAUAUCGAGAAGAUAAAUGAUGAUAGAGAAGAUUUUUAUCAGUGAAAUAGUGAAUGACGCUAUGAUUAUACAUGUUAAAAAAAUAUGAAUUAUCAACUUCAAAUUAAAAAAAAAGAGCAUUGCCGAAACAUAAUUAGGAUGUGAGUCAAGGAUGAAAAUGAGUUGGAUUCGGACAACUAAUUGAUGUAUCAUAUUCUAUUCCACAGUAUCUUCAUGGAGAUUUAGACAAGGCACAGAUAAUAGAAGGUGUGAAUGUCCGAAACAUUAGUUUUUUAUAUAUAAGUUUUUUGAAAAACAAAUUAUCUAAUUUCAAGUUUAUAAUAAUUAAUAAUUAAUUAAUGAUACGCUAAUAAUUUGUCUCGUUUCAAGUGUUGGCUAAGAUCAAACCGAUGUCCCGAACGCAGCUUUUAGAUUCUGAACUCACGAGAGUCUUUAGGUUAAAAGUCAUGCUGUGGAGCUAUAGCCUAAACAAUAUCGCUAAAUAUCUUUUUUUUAAAAAAUAAUAUAUCCUACAAAUUCUCAAUCACCAAGUAUCCUACAAAAAAUCAAAAUGGUUCUACACUGAAACUGCAUUUUUCUACGUACCCUCACAUAACUGUGGUAAAAACAAAUUGAGAACAUAAAAUACCACACAAUCUACAUUCACACCAUAUGCCCUGAUACUUUUUGAACUUUGUUUUGGAAGCACUCUACUACUCGUCUACUGCAAAAGAUAAAGAAAGAAAAACAAAUAUAGCCUAGCCACAUAUGCUGAACUCAACUCACGUUAAAAACUAAAACAUUUGUCUUUUUCGUUUACCUAGAUUAUGUUUAAAUAUAAUUCUUGGUGGAAUAGUACAUGAUAGUAUAUUUACGUAAAACUCUAUUAUAAUUUUUCACGAUUAUCUUUACUACUUUAACCUCUCCUAUUAUCCAUAAAAAAAGAACCGGCACACUCAAAGGAGUGAAAAAUAUUAUUCUACAUCUUAUUGUAACGUAAGGAUAUGGUAUUAGUUUACAUUAGACCUUAUUCGUUCAAUCAAAAAAAAAUACCGAGGAUGAAAUUUUCACAUCAUAUAUGUGAAAUAAAUUCUACUUUCUUCAUUCUAAAAUGUUGCAAUAUAGAACGUGAUUUAAUGAUAAUAAAUCUGAAACAGGUUACUUCCUCCAUUCUAAAAUAUAAUAACUUUAAAAAACGGAACACAUUAUAAUACUCCAUCCGUCCCAAAAUAAGUGCAGCUAUGGUUUUCCGCGUCCAAUUUUGAUCGUUCGUCUUAUUUGAAAAAAUUUUGAAAAAAAAUUAAAAACAUAAGUCACGAGCAAAGUACUAUUCAUGUUUUAUCAUCUCAUAGCAAUAAAAAUGCUAAUUAUAAAAAAAAUUUAAAUAAGACGGAUGAUCAAAGUUAAGAGUGAAAACUCAUGACUGCACUUAUUUUGGGACGGAGGUAGUACUAGAGGUCACCCCGCGCGUUGCUGGGGAAAUUUAAGCAAUUACAAAUGUCAAAAUUUUGGAUGAAAUAUAAUCACCUUAAAAGGAAAAACCUAACCCAAUUUAUCACUGCGCGUGAGGAAUAUUUGUACAAAUAAAAAUAAUCUUCAACCGUACCAAGUUCAUAGCCUGCAAAUAAUAUUUUUCAAACGUAUGGCUUCGAUAUUGGUACCAUUAAUUGGAGGGAAACUCAACUGGCACUCCCUUCCACUCAUAUUAUACAAAACAAAUUAAGGGAAUAAGUAACAACAAAUUGCUAAAAGAAAUGUUGAUCCGCUGGAGCAUGAGCAUAUAUAUAGCGGCAAAAUAAACGCAGCAGCAUGGCUAACGGAAUGAAGGAUUGAUCGCAACGAUCAAGUAUAGCAACUGGACUCUGGACAGGAGGGCUUGUGGUCAGCAUGUCAAUCCACUGCGAUGGUGUUUUCAGAGGAAUCAGGAAUAAAGGCCGAGUAUUCACCUAAUUCAUUUAGCUAGAGGAUGGAAUAUAUGCAGUGCAAGUGCAGUGGAAGAUGGAAGGCCUGCUGCGUGAGCCAAUGAAUGAAUAUCCAACGUUUUGGUUUCAAUCAGGAGAUGACCCGUCAGGAACAAACGGUUUAACUGUUGAAUAGGCCCCUUUGUUAAUUACUGUCGUGCAUGAUGAUCGGAAUUAAAAAAAAAACGAAGAGGUGCAUCCCACUAUCGCUCUUUACACCCUCAUUUGCAAUCUAGCGGCUAGGUGGAAUCUAUCUGCAAUCCAACGGUCAGGUGGAAUAGAGGUGAUGUGGAUCACUCCUGGAGAAGGAAAUUAGUUUUAAUUGUAGUUAGUGGGAUGACCUAUAUAGAUAUAUAUAUAUAUAGGAUACUGUUCUUAUUCGCAAUAUUAAAAUAUAUUUCAAUUAUUUAAAAAUUGUUUAUAUUUCUGGACAGACGAAAACAAACAAUAAUCCCCGUGUCCUCGCAGUGAGGCUCGCACCGCCCAGCAUCCUUGGAAACAGAGUGAGCGUCCAAAACCGGCGGCGACGCGCUCCCCGUUUCGCCGCUUUCCGCUCAUCUCGCGUAUAAAAACAUGGCGUCUCCCCUGACCACCACGCCUCCACCACCUCCGCAUCACUAGCAAGCGCAAGCGCCGCGCACUGUGACCGAGCGGAGGCGGAGGCGGAGUAGCCGGGUCGGGAACUCGGGAUGGCGAUCUGCGGGGCGAAGGCGGCGGCGCCGUCGCUGGUGGUGGCGGCGAGCAUGGGCGCCGUCGAGGCGCUCAAGGACCAGGCGGGCCUCUGCCGCUGGGACUACGCCCUCCGCUCCCUCUACCUCCGCGCCGCCGCCUCCUCGCCCAGGCUGCGUUCCCCCCUCUCCAACACCGCCGCCGCCGCCGCGCGGCCGCCGGCGGAGGAGGCCGCCGACGUGAGGCUGCGCAAGGUCCACCACCUCGUCUGCUGGGGCCCCAACUGAUUUAUAUUAUAUAUACUCAUCUCACAUCUUCCUGAAGAACAUAUGCCACUCGUCUCGUCGUCUUCCUCUGAUCUCUGUGCAGUGUAGUGCUCUUCUCUUCUCUUUUAGCUGUGUUGCAUCUCGAUCGAUCGCUUGCUUGAUUGCUCCAUCCUCCGUCUCUGUGAUCUGCAUGUUCAGUUUCGUGCAGAUUCGACCCGUUUGUGAAAAUGUUCUGCCGCUUACAUGUAUCUUCAUCCUUAUGCAUGGAGAUCUAGCUAGCCUCCUAUUCCCUCUGUUCCGAAAAUAAAAUCAACUUCGUACGAGAGUAGACUGGAGUCCUUGUAGCCCUCCAUUUUCUCAUUUACUAAUUUUGGAAAAAAAAAUCAGUACCAUCUUGAGAUCUUGAGACUGGACUUAAAAAACCAAAUUAAAGAGAAAGAGAAUAUGUUAGUUAAUUGCAUGGAUAUAUACAUGCUUGUAUUAUAAGACAUCUGAAAAAAUAGUUACGUCUUAUGUUUAUGUUUUGAGAUGAAAGGAGUACUAAUCAAGUCAAGAGCGCCUUAAUUUCAGUUUUGUCAUGUCUAAUUACCAAAUCGAGAUGACAGUAUUUGAAGACAAGAAGGGAUGUGAUAAAGCUACAAACCUGGGACAAGAACGCAUCUUGUGAGAGUGAAGAGAGCUAACUUACCAAAUGCAUCCCUGCAUCCAUCCCCUGGUUCUCAUAUGAACUUUGUCGAAUCUACAAUGAGAAUUGAAAACUAAUAGUACUAUAAGAUUUAUGGAUAUGGAUAUGGAUUGUGUGUGCAUCUGAUGAACUAGCACAAACUAAUUAAUUUCCCCUCAGAGAGAGCAAAGGCGUGAUUGGGUGCAGUGCUGGUGAACCUUUGAGCCAGUUUCAGACUUUCUUGCUAAUUAAUUUAGCCGGCCGGCAGGUUCAUCAACGCUGCACUCAAUAAUGCCUUCCCUUCUCUUCCAUCACCCAUCGAUCUCAUCAUGAAUCUGCCAAUAUUCCUAGCUCUAAAUCUCUAAUCCCAGGAACAGGAUGCAUCACUUGGCUAGGCAGCUUCCAUGCUUGUGCGUGUGUAGCUGCAUCUGCACUGCAUUUGUGUGUGUGUGUGUUGCUUUUCAGACAGGUCACCUCCUCCUUUUGUACUACUGCAUCUGCACCGUGCCUAACGGUGUUGCUUGUACUACCAUGGGAUGCAGCAGCAUCCUCGGAUUGUACUAAUUUCUAUGUGUUGUACUUUGUCACGUCCUGAUCGAUCAGGUAGUACGUACUACUAAUUCAGAGUUCAGACUUUAGAUGAGCUCUCUAAAAUUCCACAUACAUGUAAUACUUGACAGAAAAAUGGGAUUUUUCUUAUGAGUGCAGCAUUUUUCAGAACAAAAGAAUCAUGCAUACGCUUCUCUCCAAUAAUUCAGAGUUGUGGAGAUGAUUUGACCAAUACAACGAUGAAGUUUUAGGCAGGCAGUACAGCAUGACCGUGACCGUCCUGAACCUGGGCGGACACGGCAAGUACAGACUAUAGAGCAGUACAACUACAAACUGUACUGCAUUACAAUUUGCAAGUUCAGAAUAUGAGUGCCUGUCCUUUUCUGAUUAAAGAUGAUUUUAUCUCGGUUUCUGUUAGCAAGCUUUUUAAACUACUAAACAAUGUAUUUUGUACGAUAACUUUCCAUAUAUACGUUGUUUUAAAAUAUCAAAUAUAUUCAUCUGUCAAAUUUGUAGUAAUUGGAACUUAACUAAUCAUGCUUCCGUUUUACAUGCGCUAACUAAUCUUUAUCAAUAAUCUCUUUGAUAGUGCUAGUAGCCUAGUACUAAUACUUUGUCAAGCAGUGUCGCAAACGAACACGUAAAACUAUGAAUACGAUAGUAGGAGUACAGAAUAAUGUGGUACUCGCUGCAUUGAAGUUUCGGGUUUGUAUAGGCUAAACUUCUUCAAAUUUGACCACGAUCACAAAAUAUAUAGUCUCUUCUAGAAGACGUUUUGACUUUGGUCAAAGUCAAACCACUUUAACUUUGAUCAAGUUUGUAGAGAAAAGUAGUACUAAUAUUUUCAACCCAAGACAAAUUUAUUAUGAAAAAUAUAUUCAAUUAUUGAUUUGAUGAAACUAAUUUAGUAUUAUAAAUAUUAUUAUAUUUAUAUAUAAACUUAGUUAAAUUUGAAAUAGUUUGACUUUGACCAAAGUCAAAACGUUUUAUAACCUGAAACGGAGGGAGUACUAUAUAGCAGCAUCUAACCACACCGAAUUAGUUUCAUCAAAUCCACAAUUGAAUACAUUUUUAUUGUGUAUUUGUUUUGUGUUGAAAAUGCUGCUAUAUCUUUCUAUAAAGUUAUCAAACUAAAAAGUAGUUCGACUCCAAAUUUCAAAUUCUAUAUAGAAGUUUAAUAAAAGGAAAUAAAUCUAUUUUUCAAAUUUAUAAUAGUUAAUAUUUAAUUAAUCAUGUGCCAGUGAGAUUAUUUUGCUUCGCGUGUAGUACAAAUCUUCCUCAUCCAGGAGGAAUUAGCUCCAAAGACCUUCUUUUCUUUUCUUCCCACAGAAAAGUUAGCUCUACAGAUUUCAGAACUGCGGAUUUGCAGUAUACCUCAGUCUUGGGUCCAGUACACAGAAAUGAUAAAUAACUACAACUCCAAAUUUGAAUGUGCAAACAUCUCGCUAUUGCCACCAGGGCAUGGAAGAUGCAGAAUUGGUGAGCUUGUACUUAUCUGUUGAGAAUUUACACGAAUUUCCUUUCAACAAAUAAAAACAGCCGUAUGCUAAAGUAGGCUUCUGAACAAUAUACUAGUUUUAAAGUUUCAGAUUAUCUGUAUACUAUGGUCCAAAUACAAAUCGUGCCCAUUGUAAUCAGGAUGUUUCAAGUACUUACAAAUAGUCCCAAUAUCAGAACGAAUCCAGAAGGGGAAAAGAAAAUUCUCAAACGUUAUUAUUGACAAUUGAUAUCUCUGGCAUGGAAGUGUCAGCAGCACCCAGCACAGCCAAAGAAAGUAACUAAAACUAAAAAGGCUGCUAGUUCAUCUAAAAAAAAGACUGCGAGUUGCCCUCAAAAAGGGGGAAAAAGGACUGUUAGUUGAAAGGUAAGUUAUAGAUGGCCAGAAGCUAAUGGUGCAUCAUUUGAACACCUCACAUAGCAAAGAAAUUCCUUUUGAUGCACCAGAAGAUGAUCCUGUUUCACUGUUUGGCACAUAUAUGAACAUACACUGUCACUUAGAUCCUAAAAUUAUGCAUGAAUGAUAAACAUGAAGAAUUAGACUAUGAUGCUGAAUCCUAGUGAGAUUUGGUACCCAGAAUUUGCCCAGAUAUUUGUUUGUAUGUGAAGAGGUCUUGAUGACAAAAGGUUAAUCACAUUACAAUAAUUAUCUACUUCCUAGGCCGCCUUCGCCAUCAACAAUCUACAAAUAUGGUAUCGGUUGCAUGCAAAAAUUUACAUUUGGACUGGCCAACAUCGUUGGUUACACUGAAACAAACUCCUGUAGUGCACAGUUGCUUGACUCAUAUAUACAUGUUCCAAAAUUGACUCAUAUAUACUUUGUAUCCUUAGUAAAAAUGGAAUAUACAAUUAUCAGAAGAAAUACUGAAAUGUAAAGAAGCUAGGGAACAAAAAAAUUAAGCCAAAUGGUACGAAAUGGAGAAACUAGAACAGGGUAAACCUGAACAACGAUCCAAUGUAUGUGAACAAGUUGUGACUCUGGCCUCUGAUGGAACAAGCUCUGCAGCUGAAGUUGUAUUGUAAACCUGGUCGUGGUAUUUGCAACUGGUCACAUGUUUUACAGGCGGCAACUGCGUUGGCAGCCUGUCCUGGCUUUUGUCGGCAAUGUAGCGGAUUAAUUAGCCCUGUGGCUGCUGUGAUGGUAAACGUGACGGCUGCUGCUCUCCUUGCAUUCCUUGCAUAGAUUGCUCAGGUUGCUGGUGCUGACCUCCUUGCCAUGCCCAAACUAUAUCCUUAAGUGCAGGCCUUAUAUCUUCCUUCAUGAGCUUUUGAUAUUCUAUAGUGUCCCCAUUGGACUUUUUAAAUUCAACUAAAUGGAAAGAUGGAGCAAGCUCAAAAACCUCAGCAUCAAGCUCAAGUAAUCCUUUUAUUCCUUCCUUUGGUGCUACCAACCUCAGAACCCCAUUUUCUUUUUUCUUAAUUUUGAGCUUGAAGCGUCUGGCCAAUUCAUUUAGCUUAGCAAAUAUAGCUGCCGCCGGUUGCCUAGUGGUAAAUCUCUCUUCCCUCCGGCCAUAUCUUUCUUCAAACAAAUUGGAUAAGUCAAACCCGGUAGACAGAGAAAUGAUGUCAAACGCGUUCAAGUUCGGGAGGCUUAAUGAAGCUUGCUUUCCAUCGGAAUUACUACAUUCUGGUGAGUCAGAGGUUGUGGCUUCACCAUUAGUGUACACUUUGUCUCUUGAUGACGCACGAUUUCCCUCAAAAAUACUGCAUUCUGUUGUGUCAGAGGUUGUGGCUUCACCCUUAUACACCUUGUCUCCUGUUUCAUGUUUGCUCUUCAGUGCAUUUACAUCACUGGAUUUUCUGUACCAAGCGCUUCUCUUUAUCUUCGGGAUAGAAAUUCUAGUACUUGGAUCUGGAUCAAGUAUCUUAUAUAGCAGAUCCUUCAACUCAGCAGAAAAGGAACGAGGGCAUUUGUAUUCAGCUUUGGCAAUCUUUCUAUACAUCUCUAUAAGAUUUGUGUCAUGGAAAGGAAGGUAGCCAGAUACAAGCACAAACAGAAUUACUCCACAAGACCAUAUAUCAGCCUUCGCACCGUCGUAGCCUCUCCUACUAAGAACUUCAGGAGCAACAUAAGCUGGAGUUCCACAGGUGGUAUGAAGGAGGCCAUCAUGUCUCUUGGACUCAGAAAGGGCACUUAAACCAAAAUCCGAGACUUUUAAGCUCUCAUUCUCAUCUAGAAGUAGGUUUUCUGGCUUCAAAUCACGGUGAUAAACACCCCGGCUGUGGCAGUAGUCUAUACCACUGAUCAACUGAUGGAAAUACCGCCUCGCAACAUCUUCACUGAACUUUCCCUUGGAUAUUUUCUUGAAAAGUUCACCGCCUUUAGCAUACUCCAAAACAAAGUAAAUUUUGCUCUUGCUUGCCAUCACCUCAAAAAGCUGAAGAAUGUUUGGAUGCUUUACUAAUCUCAUUAUUGAAAUCUCCCUCUUUAUCUGCACCAUUAGCCCAACCCUUGUUACCUUCUCCUUAUCAAUCAUCUUUAUUGCAACGGCCUGUCCGCUUGUGAGAUUCCGAGCAUAAUAUACCUUGGCAAAAUUUCCCUGUCCUAACUGCCUACCUAUUUCAUAGCGAUCCAUCAAAAUUGUCCUCCUGUCAUCCAUUGUAGCAAUCUAUUUCAAGAAAAUCCUCUAGGCACUACUUAUAGAACAAUAUAUUUCAAAAGGGAGGGCUUAUAAAUGACUAAAUGAACACUAUCACCACCAAGGUCGUGUCCAUCAAAGAUAUAAUGCCACGAUCUUCAGUGGUUCAGAGACCAGGGUACAGAAAAAAUCAUUAUAACAGCAUGCAGGCACUGCUCUUAUUUGAACUCAACCGGACAGUUGGUGCAAAGCUUUCCGGUGCACUAGCACACAAUUCGGCCUUUUCAAGGACAAAUAUCUUCUAGUGUCACCUGUUGAAAACAAAACGGAGAACGAACAAACUGAAUCAGGGCAAACAUAUAAUGUGAAUGUAGAUCCAAUCAUCCAAAGGUAAAUCAAAUUGAAAACAAUAAUUCACUGUAAAUGCGCAUUCACAUUCCCUUUUUUUUAUACGCAAGGAGCGCAUCUUUGUAUUAAAGAGUAAAAUUAUUUAUAGGCACAUUCCCAAAGUUAGGAUAGCAUUACGAAUUUAGUAAAAAAAUUGCAGGAUUCCCCAUUUCACUAUGAUUUUGAAUACCCACCAAGCAUUCCUUGUAAGAAACCUAAAAUCACACCAAACAAAACAUACUCCAAAACGACAAAAUGACAAGUACUACAAACUAAGCAGUGAUUCAUCCUAAAAAGGUAGAUCACACGACGAUUGAUCUAGUGUUCUAGGACUUCAGGCUACUCCGAUAAAGGAAUCAACAAAUAAAAACCUGCAGAAUCCAUUCAUUCAUCAAUCCCCGGUAGCAGAGCAAUCCAUCAUACUAGGGCGAACACCCAGCUCCCCAAACCCUACCUCACCGGGACACAGAGCUACAAAUCCAGCCAUAAACCAAUCAAACUAACAAGCAAUUUACCCUUCUCAGGCCUUAGCCGCAGAGAUCACAACCACAAAUAACCUAACCAAACCAAGAAACCGCAGGGAGCACAACAUCAGCUGCAGAUCUCUUUGCGGCCACAUCAAAAACAACCAAGCAAUCACCAAGGCUGAUACUACCAACCUGAGAUGAACUGGCCGCGGAGGAGAGGCGGGGAUCCCGAAUACUCAGGUGAAGUCUGCUCCAAUCCAAGCCGGCGCAGCCACAGCGCAGCCGCCCUGCGCUUUGACCUAUUUGCAAGCACAGCCUAUUAAUAUUUUAAUUAAUUUUUAAUUACCUUUUUUUGGUUAUUUUAGUAGAGGAGUGGCAUCUCCGCUCCGCGUCGCAGCCACAUGCUCUGAUGCCUCCAGAGCACAGUCCACGUUCGCACGGCAGCUCAGCUCUAAGCAGCGCAACGCGUCAUCACGCCGCCCGGUGGGCCCCACAGCCGCCACGGGCCUGGUUGGUGGGCCGUAGCCCACGUGGGCCCACCGGCGGCAAGGUGGGCUUUCUCCUCGUGGCCCAACUGGCGGUGGUGGGCGGCGGAUGGCGGAGGCUGGCGGCGGCGGCGUAACAGAAGGAGAAGGUGGCGGCGGUGGGUGCGGGAGGCGGCGGUGGAACCGGCGGCGCCCCCCAACGGCGGCGCACCCACGGCGGCGUCGGCGGCGCACCCCACGGCGGACCAACGGCAGUUGGCGGCGGCGAUAUGCACGGCGGCGGCGGCGGCGGAAAUCUCGCUGGGGCGGUUAGGAUUCUAACCCUAACCCGCCCCCUCCCCCACCUUUUUGCCUGCCGGCCAAAUUGGGCCGGCCUAGUACUGUUCGGUGGUGGGCUGAAACCUAUAGUUUCGGCCCACCACCCAAUUUACCCUUUUUUUGUUUUAAAUUUUUAUUUUUAGCAGCCAUUACACUUUAGUCCCUAUGUUUUAUGCAAUUUAAUAGAAACAGUUCAUCAGUUGUUCACAUUAUUAUGUAAUGGUCCUAUAGAUCACUGAUGUUAUGUGUUAAUUAACAUAGAUGUUUAUUCAAAUACCCCGUUUCACUAAAUUUAUUUGUUGUCUUAAUAACAUGCCUUUUGCAUAUUAUUUCAAGACACACUCUACUUUCUCGCUUCAUUAAUUUAUAAAAUUCUAUAAAUUUUGUACUUUGAUUUAGCAAAUUCUCUUAAUUAUGUGCAACAUGAUUAAUGGAGGAUUUAAUGCAUGUUCCACUUCACAUUUUGACUCGGAAAUUAAUCACAUGUAGAUGGAGUCCUAUACUUUGGUCAUCACGACCAUAAUUUAGGCAGCGAGUAUCUUGCUCAUCAUCAAGUGGUCUACAUUUUGAGAUGAUUACCCGAUGGAGCCCUACAAAUUGGCCGCACUGGUUAUAACCUAGGCAGCGAGCAUCUCGCUCAUCUCACAGAGGUUUACAUCUCAUGAUGAUUACCCACAUGUGUUAUUUUCCGAGCAUAUGUUUUGAAAAAUGAGAUUAUUUGAAAUUUGAUUGAACACAAGGUAGUGGAGUCCUAAACAUUGGCUGCGGUAUAUUCACCAGAAUAUAUUUGCCUGGAGACCAUGUUUUAGGCAGCAAGUAUAACUUGCCCACUAUUAAGAGAUCUACUCCACUGUUUAAUUACUUGGAGAUUAUCCACAUUGUGCCACCUAAUUUCAAAUCCUAACUCAAAUUGUCAGGUCUAUAACCUACAUCUUUUCGAAACAUUACAAGAUAUGAAGUUUUACAUUUCGCAUUGAGAUUACAACCUCAAUAUCAUGUUUUUAUUAAUUUACCUCUGUAAAUUAAUAGUGUUAAUCAUGAUUAUAGGGACACGGCAACUAUAGAGUUCACCGAACUCGCCCUCGAUGGGAGUAACUACCCAAUUUGGGCUUCUGAUAUCAAAAUAAAUUUUUCUUCUAGUGGGAUUUCACAUACAGAUUAAGAACCCAAUGAUUGGGAUCCACCAGUUGAGAACAGAAAACUAUAUAUUACCUUUUUCCUUCUGAGGUUCUAUAUCUAUAAAGAUCUCAAAUAUGAGUACAUGUUGGAGACGAGCCCUCUCAACCUAUGGAAAGCUCUAAUAGAGCGUUAUGAUCAGCAAAAGGAACUCAUUUGGCCAGAGGCUAAUUAUGAGUGGAUUCAUUUACGCCUACAGGAUUUUAAACUGUGGCCGAAUACAAUCAUGUUGUACAUAACAUUUGCUCCAAGUUGAUAUUUUGCGAUAAGAGCCAACGGAAGCAGAGAAGAUAGAGAAAACUCUAUCAACUAUGUUUCCAGAGGACAAGAUAUUGAACCAAUAGUAUCGCACUAAAAGGAUUUAAGGGAAAUUCCUCGAAUACCCCUACGAAUCUGACUGGAAAACGCAAACGCAACAACAGGCGCAAAUCCAAUGGUCGACAGAAAGGAAAUAGGAAGGGUAAGGCACCACAACCUCGUGGCAAUAGCAACAUGCAUUGCAACAGGUGUGUAUCUGACUAUCAUGUCACUAAAGAUUGCCGCAUCUCAAAAACAUCUUGUUCUCCUGUAUCAGAAAUCCCUAAAGGAGAAAAAGUCUUCUGAGGAACUAAGAUUUGAAGCUCACUUCAAUCUUACAAAAGAAAGACCUGAGGUUGAAAGUUCUCACUAGGCUCCUAUUGAACCAGAGAACACCCUCGUUCUUCUCCCAGAGGAUACCACUGCGCUUUCUGCAAUAGAUGAUAUGCUCAUCGAAUACUGCUCAACGGACCCACUUAGAGAUUUAUUGUAAUCUCAGUGCGUCCCACUUAGAGAUAAAGCUGCUUUAAUCUCAGUGUGUUUAAGACAUUAUAUUGAUAUCCUAUAGUUUGUCAAAACAAUAUUGGUUGUAAUAAGUAGAUAAGUACAAACUCCCUUAUAUUAUAAAGUUGUAAGACUUGAUAGUCAUUAGAGUAUGUACUAUUAACCUAUGUAAACGUCAUACUAUGUAUCUGAUGUUUUCAUUAUUGUAUGUAUGUAUAUAUUGUGGAUAAAGAAUUCUUCACUAAGCAAUUCUUCUUUCACUAUAGAUGUCUAAGGAUAUCGCUCUGAAAUUGUCCUUCUCUCAUCCAUUGUAGCAAUCUAUAUCAAGAAAAUCCUCUAGGCACUACUUAUAGAACAAUAUAUUUCAAAAGGGAGAGCUUAUAAAUGACUAAAUGAACACUAUCACCACCAAGGUCGUGUCCAUAAAAGAUAUAAUGCCCCGAUCUUCAGUGGUUCAGAAACCAGGGUACAGAAAAAAAUCAUUAUAACAGCAUGCAGGCACUGCUCUUAUUUGAACUCAACGGGACAGUUGGAGCAAAGCUUUCCGGUGCACUAGCACAUAAUUUGGCUUUUUCAAGGACAAAUAUCUUCUAGUGUUACCUGUUGAAAACAAAACAGAAAAUGAACAAACCGAAUCAGGGCAAACAUAUAACGCAAAUGUAGAUCCAAUCGUCCAAAGGUAACCUAAAUUGAAAACAAUAAUUCACUGUAAAUGCGCAUUCACAUUUCUUUUUUUAUAUAUGCAAGGAGCGUAUCUUUAUAUUAAGGAGUAAUAAAAGUUAUUUACAGGCACAUUCCCAAAUUUAGGAUAGCAUUACGAAUUUAGUAAAAAAAAUUCAGGAUUCCCCAUUUCACUAUACUUUGAAUACCCACCAAGCAUUCCUGGUAAGAAACAUAAAAUCACACCAAACAAAACAUACUCCAAAAUGACAAGGACUACGAAACUAAGCAGUGAUUCAUCCCAAGAAGGUCGAUCACACGACGAUUGAUCUGGUGUUCUAGGAAUCUAGGCUACUCCUAUAAAGGAAUCAACAAAGAAAAACCUGCAGAAUCCAUUCAUUUAUCAAUCCCUGGUAGAACCCGUCAUACUAGGGCGAACACCCAGCUCCCCAAACCCUACCUCACCGUGACACAGAGCUACAAAUCCAGCCAUAAACCAAUCAAACAAGCAAACAAUUUACCCCUAUUAGGCCUUAACCGCAGAGAUCAUAGCCAUGAUUAACCUAACCAAACCAAUAAACCGCAUAAGCACCGCAUCAGCAGCGGAUCUCUUUGCGGCCACAUGAAAAACAACCAAGCAAUCACCAAGGCUAAUACUACCAACCUGAUCGAGAUGAACUGGCCGCGGAGGAGAGGCGGGGAUCCCGAAUACUCAGGUGAAGUCUGCUCCAAUCCAAGCCGGCGUAGCCACAGCGCAGCCGCCCUGGGCUUUGACCUCUUUGCAAGCACAGUUCUAUUAGUAUUUUAAUUAUUUUUUAAUUACCUUUUUUGGGUUAUUUUAGUAGAGGAGUGGCAUCUCCGCUCCGCGUCGCAGCCACAUUCUCUGAUGCCUCCAGAGCACAGUCCACGUUCGCAUGGCAGCUCAGCUCACAGCAGCGCAACGCGUCGUGCCGCCCGGUGGGCCCCACCGCCGCCACGGGCCUGGUUGGUGGGCCGUAGCCCACGUGAGGCCCACCGGCGGCAAGGUGGGCUUUCUCCUCGUGGCACAAAAGUCAGUGUGUGGCCGUGGCGAGGCCGGCGGAGGCAGCGGCGGCGGAGGAGGAGGUCGUCGUCGCCGGCAGCUCAGCUCAGCUCACAGCAGCGCAACGUGUCAUGCCGCCCGGUGGGCCCCGCCCCCGCCACGAGCCUGGUGGGUGGGCCGUAGCCCACGUGGGCCCAAUUGACAAGGUGGGCUUUCUCCUCGUGGCCCACAAGUCGGUGUGCAGCGGCGGCGAGGCUGGCGGCGGCGGAGGAGGAGGUCGUCGCCGGCGGCCGCGCGGUGACGGGUGCAGUGAAGUUCGGCGCGAAACCUCAAGAGCACCGCAUUUUCUACGCUUUUUCUUUGUUUUUUUUUUUGGCUCGAGUGCGCCUUCGCCGAACAGAUAAAGGCCACGUCUUUUCUUUUGCUUUCUCCUCUCCAAGCGAAGCCACUGCUUCUACUGCGUCGACUUGGAAUUUUGCCGAAUCUUUUUUUCCUAUGCAUUUGGCAAGACCAAGAAAACAAAAAGAAAAGAGAUUAUUAAUCAUGGCGACACGAAUGGAAAUGGUUAAUAAUCGCAUUGAAAUCUAAAUCCGAUCCUACUAAAGAAUUAAUUAAAAAAUAGGAGUACUAAUAAUGGGCAUAGAUAGAGGGAGACCUCACUCUCAGCAUAAAAAAAUUCCAUCUUUGCAGGCAGACGCAGGUGCACUUGCUUCAGUCACCACCUCCUCUUCUCCUUUGCCGACUCCUGAGCCAUCAGUGUGGCCUAACUCGUGUGACUUUCAAAGUAAGAGUAUCUACGACUUCGAUUCUUUUAUUGCCUUUCUGAUUAAUGAAUAGUGGUAAACGAAGCAAUAGGAUUUGACUCCUGGAGAAGGAGAAGCUAAGAUAGCACUGAGCUCUUUCUAGAUACACAUCCUUCUCCGCGGCCAUUUCUUGGAGCAAAUCUCAUUUUGCACAGCCCCAAAGAUUUCUUCAUCUUUGAAGGCAAAAAAAAAGAUGGUCCUUUUUCGAGGGAAAUAGGGGGGAAGAUGGCUAUGAAGAGAGUGGUGUUUCUGUUGCUGCUUGUGGCGGCAUCUGCAUUGGUGAAGUCGUCAAGAGGAGGAGGAGGAGGGGAGGAGAAGUUGGGGAAGUUCUAUGGAUGGCGGCGCCAUCUUUCUUCUGGACCAGCUGCCUCUUCGUUGGUUCUCAGUGGGGAUCUCGUAAGGCGUCCAUAAACCUUCUCCUUUGCAUGCUAGAUAGAAGUAAUCGAUUCAAUAGCUCUAGUUUACUUUGCUUGAUUUGGACUUGUUAUCUGCCAAGAACUUCGAAUAUGACUUCCAUUUUGUCUUCUUGAAAGUGAGGCAUUCAGGCCUUUUUUGUUAUUUACCGUUGUUAUGUUUAGUAUAUUUCGUUAUAACAGAAAUAUGACUGAUUGUUUCUUGAUCUUUAUUGUGCUCACUUUAGUCAAUCAGGAUGAGCAGUAAAUUUUACUUAGUUCAUAUAUAUUAUAUGAGAACAAUUUAACAGAUAGCUUGAUGCAUUAACAAAUAAUCCUUACUGUGAUGCAGGUAGACAAAAUAUGGUCAGUUUGCUUACAAGACAUAGUUAGCCCAGAGGAUACAUUUGGCUUUGGGGAAUCAUUUGCCUGGGAUGAGUUAUCGAGUCAUUCCACGGAAGAUGAACUGAAGGCAACACUGUUCAUGGAACUUAUGGCUCUUCUUCCACCUGAGAAAUCUUCUUUUACUUAUGAUUGUAUCCGUGCAAACUGCUUCAGCCUGGGUGUUCCACAAAUAUUCAGUGUUGCACUGAGCAACUAUCUUGAGAGCCAGAAAUCAUUGGUCGGUUCAAACUUCUAUCCGAGACGGCGUUUGGUAGAUAAACUGAUCGGAGAUGCUCCUUCCAUGGCUCCAGCUUUCGCACCAUCCAUGUCCUCUGGCGGUGAAGUUCACUCUCCCCUCUCUGUGGCGGAGGCACCACUUACACCUUCCAACUCUCUGAACAUGGAACCUCCCAGCCCAUAUUAUCCCAGUAAAUCUGCACACAAGCAUCAGGGAGUGGCACCUCCAGUUUCACCUUCAGAGGAGUAUCAUGACUACAUGAAAGUAGUCUUGAUCGCUGUUCUUCCAACAGCCGCACUCUCAUUCCUAGCUGCAUUUCUAUGUUUCUACUGCUGUGGAUGCAACAAAAGCAAGGUCUCGGUUGGCGAGCAACGAGAUGACCAUCCUCUUCUUCACUUGCAGUUCUCUAACUUGCCUGGUGAGGAUACAUCCCUUCUAUCAACAUGGUAGAUUAUUAUUGGUAUGGUAGUAUAUCAUCUAUCAUUUGAAUGGCAGGUUCGUCACCUGAUGUGCAUGUUCCUGCCAGCCCGCUUCAUAAGGAUGAUCAUGGGGUUAGGCCAUCCAAUGCUGGUGUAAGCAUGAGCAAGUGCUUUCCAUGUUGUUUUAAAACCUCAAGUGAUGCCACAACACCUACACUAGUAACUGGAGGAACACAGGAGAACAAUGCCACAAGUGAUGCCCCUAAACUGAUGCCUCCGCCACCCCCACCUCCUCCACCUCCACCUCCACCUCCCCCUCCACCUCCUCCGCGUCCACCUCCUCCGCCUCCACCUAUCAAGAAGGGUGCUCCACCACCUGCACCUCCUAAAGCCACCAUGGCAAGAUUUCCUAAGCUGUCACCUACAGAGUCAAGUCGUUCUGAAGAGUCAUCUGCAAGCGAGCUGGCCAGUGAAUCGUCUGAAACUGAGGUGAAUGCUCCAAGAGCCAAGCUCCGGCCUUUCUAUUGGGAUAAAGUUCUUGCUAAUCCUGAUCAGUCAAUGGCCUGGCAUGACAUCAAAUUUGGUUCUUUUCAGUAAGUUUUUAAAUUUAGCAAUGGCAUGUAUUCUAAGUUCAUUUAGGCUUGCAACUGACGACUGCAUUCUGCAGUGUGAACGAGGAGAUGAUAGAAGAAUUGUUUGGUUAUGGUGCUGGCAACCAAAACAAUGUCAAGGACAAGGAAAUUUCCAUUGCAGAUCCUUCACCUCAGCAUGUUUCUCUUCUUGAUGUUAAGAAAUCAUGCAAUCUGGCAGUUGUUUUUAAGGCAAUGAAUGUGAGGGCAGAGGAAAUUCAUGAUGCUCUGGUUGAAGGUAGUUGAACUAUUGCAUAUAUUUACAUGCAGCCUACUUACCCAUUUGCCAAAAAAAAAAAAAGCUCCUAAAGUUUCCAUUAUCGCUGUAAAUACAAUAUGUUUGCACCGCCAAAGAUAACAUUGCACUUAUAAAUGAGCCUUUUGAAAAAAUGGAAUGCUCGUUGCAUUCUAUUUAACUGAUACAAGAAUUCGACUGCAACUAUAGCAAGUUUACUUAUUAAACUAUAUACUGUGCAUUUCUAAGCACAUGUAUUUGUGGCCAUCCUCUUUUAGUUUCUUGUCUGUCUUUGUGAUUGUGGCCCAUCUCAUUUCAUAUCAGGCAAUCACAGUGAAAACAUGUUUCAUAUUGUGUAUGCAUUGGUCAUUUACUAUAUCAUAUGUUCUCUUGUUCACUAGAUGUAGCUGUUGAGGUCUAAGUAGUACACACAAAGUUGAUGCUGUGCUGGUUCACUUCAAUAUACUUCUGACAUUGUCUUCUGUCACAUUAUGUUAUGAAGGGAAUGAACUUCCUAGAUUACUUCUUGAGACAAUCUUGAGGAUGAAACCGACUGAUGAGGAGGAACAGAAACUCAGGCUUUAUAAUGGGGACUGCUCGCAGCUAGGCCUAGCAGAACAAGUGAUGAAGGCACUAAUUGAUAUUCCUUUUGCUUUCGAGAGGAUUAGAGCUUUGCUUUUCAUGUCCUCUUUGCAGGAAGAUGCUUCAAGUCUAAGGGAAUCAUUCCUCCAAUUGGAGGUAAUCCAUCUGAAAGUAGUUGACUUCUGUAUUAAAUCUGCGAAGUAUUCCAACCUUUUUUCUCCAAGUGUUCAGUUUUUUAUCUGUUUGUGCCAGGCUGCUUGCGGUGAACUCAAGCACCGCCUUUUUCUGAAACUACUAGAAGCCAUUCUCAAAACUGGAAAUCGUUUGAAUGAUGGGACGUUCCGUGGUGGUGCUAACGCGUUCAAACUUGACACUCUUCUUAAGUUAUCAGAUGUCAAGGGAGCUGAUGGGAAGACCACAUUGCUGCACUUUGUUGUUCAAGAGAUCAUUCGAUCUGAAGGUGUUCGCGAAGCAAGACUCGCCAUGGAAAAUGGAAGAAGUCCACCAUUUCCUAGUACUUCGGAUGACAAUUCCAAUGAAUCUCUACAGGAGGAUGGCAAUUACUACUCCAACCUUGGCCUUAAGAUUGUAUCAGGGCUUAGUAAUGAGCUGGACAAUGUCAAGAGAGUAGCAGCACUGGAUGCUGAUGCUUUGUCUACAAGUGUGGCAAAUCUGCGACACGAAUUAUUGAGAGCCAAAGAAUUCCUGAACUCCGACAUGGCAUCGCUAGAAGAGAACAGUGGAUUCCACCGCUCGUUAGAAAGUUUCAUAGAACAUGCAGAGACUGAGACCAAUUUUCUCCUGAAAGAAGACAAGAGAUUGAGGAUGUUAGUGAAGAGAACGAUUCGAUAUUUCCAUGGAAAUGAUGAGAAAGAUGACGGUUUUCGCCUGUUCGUCAUUGUAAGAGAUUUUCUGGUGAUGCUAGAUAAGGCAUGCAAGGAGGUUGGUGCUUCACAAAAGAAGGCAACAAAUAAAUCUCAAGCCAAUGGCAACUCUAAUAACCCAUCAUCCCAGUCAAAUCCUCAGGAGCAACAGUUUCCUGCUGUUUUGGAUCAUCAUUUUGAUAGCUCAGACUCUAAUGAUUGAAGAUAGAUACAAUCUUAGAUACUAAGAUACAUACAUUAUGUUAGAUAUUUUAUAUUUUUUCGCCCGAGACCAUGUAAAAAGUCCCAUUUGCAGAGGCAUUGUUCAUACAUAAUCACAUUCACAUAGAUAGAUUUGAAACUUCAUACAUGCUAUUAUGCUAUAACAUUCAGUAUCAAAUCUGAAGUUCUGAACUCAGCCUAUCGUUAGAUUCUAUUUUCUUUGGUAAGAGUAUUCAUAUCCCGACCCCUCCCCACAUGUGUCAUUUCCCAGAUAUUUUUAUUUUAUUUUUAAAGUCAAACCUUUUCUUUUCAUUUUUUGAAAGCCAAAACAUUUUCAACCGUGUGAUGGAAACCAAAACCUUCAGCACCCUAAAGACGAAAAAAUAAUUAGUAGGAUAUGGUAUAUUUCAGAAAACUGGAUCUAUUUUAUCAAUCUAUCACUUUGCUACAAUGUUAUCCACGUAUUUUAAAGAAUUGCAAUAUUAGUGUAUGGUUUUAUCAAAAAGAAAGAUACAACUUAAUUUGUGUGACAAGUUUAAGUCCACAUACACUGUCCAUUAUAAAUUGGGUAUAUGUCAUACUAGAAAUGUGGUCCCGUGACCAUGGUAGGUUUUUACUCUUUUAGUAGCUUUAUAUAGUCCAGUUCUUAUAAUCAUGUGUAUAGUGUUGGGCAAAACUAUAUCCCAUCAGGUAGAUGAGUUUGGGUCCAUUCUAUGAGCACCCGUCCCGUCUACCAUGGGUAAAAAACACUCGUAGAUCUAGCGAAAAAAAAUUACAGUGGCCUAAGACCAAAUCUUAGUAUGAAAUCAUCUCACCUAACCACCUAUCAAUCCUACCAAUAUUCUCCAUUGCCACACAAACCGCAAGUAAAAGGCAGUGCUCGUGGUGGCGGCUAGAACCACUCAUGACUCAUUAUGCUCGUGAGUUGCUAUGCGACCAAGACAAGACAAGGGAGGUAGCGGGGCUCAUGCGGUUAUAGGGGGUAGGGAAAACGGGAUUGAGGAGUCACACUCUCAUCACAUCUCUAGUCUCCUUCACAUCAGUCUCUUACCAUUUCCCAUUCCAAUCGGUGGUGGAUCCAGGUACGGAGGAAAUCUUGUACCCAUGACAAUUGUGGGUGUUAGAGCAAAAUGUUUUGACUUGCAUAGGUGUGUGCGGGGUAUUAGAACUGGCGGGUGUAUUUGCUAUAUUUAGUCUUACACACAUAGGGGAUAAAUUAGUAGUUAUAUGAUAAAUUCCGUUGCUAAAGUUACAAUUUUAUGAAAAAUAGCCAGCUAAAGUUAUACAAAGUGAUGGUGUUUGCCAAAGGGAGUAUCUAAAGAAUUGCCACAAAUUUUUUGAGUCAAAAACUUUCAGAUAUAACAACUUAUAUAAAACUUGCAUUCAACUAUGGUUUAGUUAGCUAAUAUUGGGAUCUUACGUGUGAUAUGUGUGAAAUUUUUUUUCCUUCAUGCACAAAUCGUAGGACGAUCCGAUGGUCACAAAUUUGGAAGUUUUGGGAGUAGUUAUUUUAGCAAAUCCGUUACCAAAUAAGGCUGUGUUCGGAGGAGGGGGUUGGGAACCCCUCCUCCUCGGCACGCAAAACAAAGUUCAUUUUAUUGCAUGAUCAAUUAAGUAUUAACUAUUUUUUUAAAUAGAUUAAUAUGAUUUUUUUAAACAACUUUCAUACAUAAAGUUUUUAUAUAAACCACACCGUUUAGCAGUUUGAAAAGCAUACGUACGGAAAACAAGAGAGGUGGGUUGGGAAAAUGGGGGAAGAACACAGCCUAAGCAGUUUUGUGAAAUUUUCUCGAUAAUAGGAUAAGAUCUUCUAGGAUGCACAAUCCUACCCGUCCAUUUCCGAUCGGACGGCACCGGUGACACCCAAGAGCAACCCAGGCCGCCUCCUCUCCCCCAAAACGCGCACUCGUGUGCUUUCGCCUUCCAUUCUCCAAACCCUCGCGGGAGAUCGGAAUUCCCCACCCCGGAGCGCCGGAUCCACCACCGAUCGUCGGCGGCGGCGGCGGAGGAGGCUGCGACGGCGGAGGCGGAGAUGCUGGGCCCUCCUCGCCGCGGGCCGGCGUACAAGACGAAGCUGUGCGCGCUGUGGCAGCGCGGCAACUGCAACCGCGACACCUGCAGCUUCGCCCACGGCCACGGCGACAUCCGCCGCCCGCCGUCCUCCCGCGGCGCCUUCACGCACCACCCGGGUAUGGAUUGCCCCCCUCCCCCCUCGCGCGCCCCCCUGUUCGUUGUUUGUCUUCGAGAUCCCCCGCCCCUGGGUUUAGGGUUUCUGGUGUCUAGUGCAGGAGGCGGAGGGCGUUGGAUGUCCUAGAAUUUUUUAUUUUAUCGUCGUGAUUGUCGAUAAGCUUAGAUUAGAUGUAUGCGUUGCUAGAUGGCUAGAUGUGAAAUGGAAGUGCGGAAACCGGACUAUUGGAUUAUGUCAAGAGUAGUAUUUUCACAAAAGCCGAGUGAUAAUGUUAUAAGAGUGAGCAUUGGAAGUUUGGAACUAAGCGGCUGGUUCUGGAGAACGUGACAUACUGGGCGGUAAGCCCGAAUGCGAUGUUUGGCUUCCCAUGCAAAAAAGGAAUGUCAUAAAAAGUGGAAAUUGCUGGAAUGUUGCCUUUUAAGAGGACAUUCGAUACCCAUGAAGGAGUUAGGACUUAGGAGAGAAUCCAGUCAUUGCUGUAAACCUUCUUUAUGAUUCGCGCGAUAGUUUGCUGGCUUUUUUGUCUUGUUCUAUUGCGUUUGUGAUUUUUACUGUAUUUCUUAUACGAGUGCUUGAAUUCAACCACCAGUUGCUGCAGAUAGAAAAUAAUUCUAACAAGUGGAAGCUUGUUGCAGAAUUAGGUGGCAUUCUUACUGGUUGUCUUUUGAUUUAAUUAUCAUUCAAACUAGCAGACUCUGCAGAUAUGUUGACUCAACUGCUGCCAGAGGAUAGCAUGACCUUUUUCAUAAAUUCUUCACUUGGUAUUUCGACGAUUUGUGUUGACGAUAAUGCUUGUGCUGUACCAGAAGGUGAACUUGUGAGGAUCUUGGAUGAUGCCUCCAUUGAAUGAUUGCCAAUAAUAUAUUCAAUGUGAUACAAUCAUGCCAUUAGCUGGCUUUGCAAUUACUGGGUCACACAUUAUAUGAUUAUGGUGCAUCAGCUAGUUCCAUUGGAAGUAUUAUUCUCACUGGUGAUUCAAACAUUUUGUGAUUCUUCACAAGUCGCCAUUGAAGAUAUCUGAGCAAAUGCUAGUAUAUGUAUGGGAUAUUGGGACUAUGCCAUUAUGGAAGACCUUUCUUCAUCAUACUUGCUAUAUGAGGUUAUUUAUGGAGCACUCAUCCAUUUCACUUCAGACGAUCAACAUUAUUAUAUUAAUGGGUGAAUCAGUGGUUUCUUGUCGUAUCUUGGUAUAUGCUUGUGCAUUAUUUUUUGGCCCUACUUUUUUUGUGGCUAAUGGCAUUAUCCUGGAGCCCCAGCUACUUAUUGCUAAUUGAAUAAUCUUGUAGCUCAAUGGUCUUGGUAAGCUUAACAGGAUUAUGGGUGUCCUACUAUCUAUAUAUUACUUCCUUUUUGUUUUUUGUUUCAUAAGUUGCUUCCUUUGUAUAAAACUUGCACCUCCCUGACUUCUAGGGAGAAGAGAUUAUAGAGCCGGUGAUUUCAGAGGCAGGAUUGAUAGGAGGUUUUCACCUCGGAGGAGGCAUUCCCCUGGAAGAGAGUCCAGGGGUCAUCGUCCCCUUUAUGAUAGAAGGCCAUCUUCUCGAGAAAGAGGUAAUAACUGCUUUCUUUCUCUGUCGUGUGUGUAUUUGCAUGUGUGUAUACAACUGUUUCUGGUCGCUUCUACAUACUGAUUGCUUUUAAGUUUAUGCUAUUUAUAAACUCAUAAAAAUGUGAUUUCUUACUGCAGAUUCUAGCUAUUCACGAUCUCCUAGCAGGAAGAGGUACAUAUUUCAUUUCAUCAUAUGAGCAUGAUCUUUUGAAGUUAAAUUCUAAAUAUGCUGUGAGUGCAUGUUAAAGCCCUGAUCAAAGUUCAAUUUAUGGUGUCUUUGCUUAUCUUUAUCAUCGAUUUAUUAGUAUAUUGCCUUGUCGUGUUUCUAUUGGUCUUGCAUUUUAGUUUUUCAUCAUUGUUAAUCACCAUUUGAUAUGCUUGAGUUAAGAUCCACACAAGCUACAAUUUUAGUUCUGUAGUUUUAUAUUAAUGGUGCUGUAAACUAUCAUCAACAUAUUUGUUCCAUUAUAAUGCUAAAAUUAUCUUGCUCAGAAUGGUAAGGUUUUGUAUUCUUCCUGCAGAUUGUACCUGGUGAUACUUACUAUCUAUCACUCAAAUUAUUUGUUUUGUUUUCAUAGUCAUAAGCAUGUUUUCCUAAAGGUCAUGCAAGCACUUGUAUAAGCUGUAUUUUGCGAUCAAAGUAGAACUUGAUAUUUGAACACUGGCAUUUCCGUUGGAAUUGUGGUUGGGUUUACUAGAUUUAUUCUAGAUGCCUUGAACAUGUUGAGUCGUGCUGAACUGGUAAUUUACUUUUCCACAAUCUAUCCUUUAUUUCCAGUGAGAGGAGGCAUGAAAAGAAGACUGACGAUGGAGAAACCAACUCAUCUAGGAGUUUAAGUCUCUCUGAUAACAACGAUGAAAAGAAAAAGGACAAAUUCUCAAGUGGUGAUGAGAAAGAAGACCACGAAAAGCAGGUAUGAGAAAAAUGUAAUCAAAUUCAUGGCUUAUACAAGCACAUUUGGCACAAUCUUCAUUGCAUAAUUAUGAAUAUUGUGCAGCUGAAACAAAUACGGCUGGAUAUGGAGGCUUUGCGUGACGAUAAAACUCAGAUGGAGGUCAGUUUCUAUUUGUCUCGCUAUAUUUGUUACAAUAUGGCACAUGCUACCAUGUUAACAUUUUGACUGCCACUUUUUAUUCACUCAUAAAAAGGAGUUGGUGGUUGUGAUGAUAGGUUCCACCAUCCCAUGCCAUUUUAAAAGAUCUUUUGUGGAUGAAUCUACCUUAGUGUGUGUGUGUGAAUUGUAGGAUCUUUUGUAAAGGAUUACAUCUUCUGCACAUGUAGACAUGCAUAAGAUGAUCGAUUGACGCAAGUCAUAUAUUCUAUUUUAAAUUUGUUACUAAUUUGUCAUAUGUAGACAUGUAUUUUUAUAAAAAAGUUCAAAACUAAUGGCUUAUUUAUCUGUGGUAUGCUGCAAUGAAUGAGCUUAUGAGCACUAUGCUAGUAAUGUGUAAAUUGAGAAAUGGUAAUGCAUGGAUUUCAUCAAGUGUUCAAAGCGUAGGUGACUUUUCACUAGUCCAGUACUGCUGUGCCAACUAUCAACUAAUAGUGUUUGCAUGUAGAACUUAGUAUGUGGGUAUUGUUUAUCAUCUUUAAUUUCAGACAUAUUCUCCAUUCUGUUCAUGUUUGGCACAGAGAUUGCACAUCUUCCAAUCAUUUAAUAGUAGUCAUGCUUGACGAAUUGGUUGGCAGUGCGUCUUUCCAUGAAUAACCCCAAGAGUACCCUCUAGUCUUGUGUCCACUUUGGACCUUCAUUGACUUAUUGUACUUGAGUUUAUUUAUUUUUGUCUUCCUGUCAUGUUAUAUUUUCCGACUGAGCUUUGGAGCGGGUCAGCACUCAGCAGGCACAUUAUUAUAUGGUGCUUGCGCUCUUGUUUCAAAUGCUUUCUAUUUUAUGGCUGUGCUAAUAUUUCAAAUUUUCAAUGGUGCUGCAAGAAUUUGAUUUCACAUUGUUUUUAGCAUCUCGUGAACACAGUACUUGCUAACUACUACUUUAGAAAAGACUCCUGCUUUUUUUUUUGUUUCAUGGAAUGAUAUUACAAAACAUCCUACUUGGCCAUGUCUCUCUUUUAGACUUUUAGAAAAAGUCAAGCUCUUAGAAAUGUUACAUAAAUAAAUGUACACUAAUUUAUAAAUGGUUCCUUAUAAUUUGAAAAAAGUUUGCAUUAAAGACACCAUUUAAUAAUAUUCCUACUUCAUCACUGUUAUGAGCAUGGGCCAGGCCGAUGCAGCAGUUUAGGCACGAUAAAUUAGGAAUAAGUCAUAUAAUGGUAGGAGAUUAUCUAGUUAGGAAAGAGAUGAAGUUUAUUAUCUAGUUGGGAUUGAUUUCUAUGAUACUAUAGACUAUCCUUGGAUGUCAAGCCUGUCCUCCCUAUAUAUAAAGGGACCCCAUGUACUCUAUCAUUAAUCAAUCAAUGAAUCUCUAAAGUUAGCCCUAAUCCUCAGAGCCUCUUUUAGCUGAGCAGGGAGAAGCCUUGCCGCUGCUAUUAGUGAGCGAGUGCCCUAUCACUGGGUCUUCGGACCCUUACCCUAGCUACUCCAUAACAGUCACUACCCAUUGCUUGUACUUAGUUCCAUUCACGUCUAUAAUGUUAGAUCAUGCUGAAUCUUUGCUCCAAACUCUUAACUCUAGUCAACGCACUUACCUAUUUGUAGGUCAUUUUGGAUGAGAAGAUAGAUGAAGUGCGCAAGAUCUCUAGCAAAGUUAAUGAUCUUGAGGUGCAGCUUAGAAGGGAGAAAGAUGAAUGCCAUAGGUACUUAAGCAAUGUUUCCACAUGACAAUGGCACAUUAUCUUGACAGUAUUAUCCAAUAGUUCUAUAUUGUUUUUCUAUACCUUUGUAGGAUGACCUCAAAGAUGAAGAAGUUUAUUAAAGCUCAUGCUCGGUUUUUGAAGGCACAAGAAGAAGUGAAAAGGUGCUUUAUGUUUUCAUCAUGUUUGGCCUUGUAAUGCUAGUACACACCAGAUUACUCCUUUUUGCAUAACUAUCAAUCAAUAAGUGUUCACCAAUUGGAGUUAUGCAGGUCACAAGCUCGUUUCGAGAGGCUUGGUGAUUUGCUUGCUUCAGAUAUUUUGAAGCGUGGUGCUAAUGAAGAGGGGUCCAGUGUCAAUGAAGACCUAAACGAAAGGAGUCCUAAUACUGCAGCAACUAAAAAGAGAUCAAUCCCAUACUCAACAAGUGAAGAAGCGAAAGCUGGUAUGUAGCUUAGUUUCUCGGGACACUCUGAUUGCCAGGUUGUGAUUUGUACAAUAUGGAUCUUGGUGUUAUGCAGCAUCCAACUUUCCCCUUCUGUUAAACUGAUAUAUGUACCUCUUUAUGGAGUAACCAGUCGAUCCUAGUAUGAAGUAGUUCAAAUGUUCCUUUAUUUAAUAUUAAGCAUUAAAAUUGAUGUGCUUAGUUUUCUUACAGUAGCACUGAAGGAUGCCUAGUUUCUUUUAUAAUUGGAUUUUAAUUCUUUCUGCAAAUUGCUGAAGAAGUGUCUUAAUUAUGUACUUAAACCUAAUUGCUUGUCUCCUCAGUGAAGAAGAGAAGAGAGCGAGACUCUGAUACAAUGACUAGGUCAGAUAAAUAUAGGUCAGAUGUUACAGAUUUUGAUAAAACAAGUAAGGGGACUGAGGCAACCAAGUCUUUAUAUUUGAAGAAGAAAUUAUGGGAAGAUGAAAAAAGUAAGCUAGGAGCCAACAUUUUCACAGAAAAGGUGCACCAUUUCUCCCGCCCGCUCUCAAUUUUAUGAUGAACUACAUAUCAUACUUAGUACACUCAGUCCAGUGCUUUGUUUAAACAUUAUCACAUAUUGCUAGCCUAUGCAUUUGAUUGCACUGUAUAUAUCUCUACUAGUGUAAAAGCAGAGUUGUCCUUCCUUCCCCUCUUCCCACCUACCGCGUACAGCGAGAGAGUGAAAAACCGAAAGGCCAAACUUAUUACUUGUCUAAACAAAAAGCCUAGUUGAUAUUUGGAAAGUUCGGUCAUUGCCAGACCUUGUAUUGAAACUGAUAGGCUUCCUUGAUCAUCAGGUCCUAAAGCCCUUCUUGGCUAUGUUGGCAUCUGUAUUUAUCUUUGUUUGAUUGUGCUUAUCACAGGCAAAUAUUUUGUUAACUUGCAGGUCAAAGGUUCUCCCGUCAGACAUGUUUUGCCCUCCACUGGCAUGGCUGCUCAUGCUAUUGAUGAUCUCAACGAAGCUAUUGAACUGGAGGACAGACAUGAAUCCAUAGACGCAUUACUAGAAAAUGAUGCUGAUGACAAAACUAGAUCACCUGCUAUUCCCCUGCAGCCACCACCAGUGGUACAGAAUGCUUAUGAGCAGGUGAUUAAAUUUUCACCUUUCCAAAAAAAAAUAUUGGACCUGCUUACAUGCACGGUCAGCGGCAUGGAACUGGACAGUGCAUUUUGUUUAUAAAAAAUCGUUGUACUAAAAAAGCUCCUUUUUUUUCCCUGUGCAUUUGCUAAUUUGCUGAAAAAGCAAACUCAUAAUUUGUUUCAUCUUUUCCCAGUAUGAGGGUGAUGACGAGGAAGUCGAUGUGGAAUAAGUGGAUGGCCUCGUUUCUAGACAAGAGGCCUCUGAUGAAGCAAUGGCGAGAUUAGCAUCUUCCCCAGCUCCUUAUAAUUAGUACUAUUAGCAUCUUGGUGUACAAAGUGCUAUCUAUUUGACAUUGGGAAUUCAGCUUAUAUUUAUCAAGAAUCCUUUUGUAGUAACAUCCUUGGCGCUGAGACAGCCUUAGUCAACUAUGUGGAGCAGCCGUAUAAAUACUCCAUAGAGUGUCUGGUUUGGCUAAGCUAAUGACGUAUGGUAUGUGCGCUCCUUCUGCCCUGGGGAUUGCGACGCCAGAUGUGUCUACCUUCUUUAUCGCUGCAUUCAGUUAAGAAGAAGAAAUGCCAAAGAUGAACAUUUCAUGGUCAUCUGGCUAGUCGAGCUGAGCGUGUAAACUGGGUAAAGCAAGAUAUCCUGAAUUGAAUUCCUGAUGCCUUUGUACAGCCUCCCCAAGACCCGAAAAAGCUAGGGUUUGCUGCUGGCCUGGUGCUGCGGAGCGGGCAUGAGCGCCAGCUUUCUCCCUCGCUGUUAAGGGUGUAAUAAGGGGUUAAUUUGUGAACCCGCUUAUAAAUCAAAAUCUUCUCAUGGCUGGUCGUCCUCGCUCUCCUGUCGUCGGCUUCUCCUCCAUCGCCGAUGAUCAUCACUCUAUCAUCAGCUCUAUCGUCAAUUCGUCUCCUGUGUUUCGGCCUGGCCAGAUUAACCUAAGCAGAAAGAGCAGUAGUUUUAUCAGUUGGUUAUAUUGACCCAAGCCAGAAAUAGCAGUAGUUUUAUCGGUUGGUUUUAUAAGUCGUAACAAUAUGUAUCUCACGACUUAAAAAAAUAAUAUAUAAAAAUAUCAUGUUGGAAAUAUCCUAAAAUUAACUUUAUAAUUUAAAAUCGACUCAAAUAUCUAAAUUUUAAGUUUAUCAUACCCGGGAGGUUAUCCUCGUCGAGAGAAACCGACCCGGUUGAUUUUCCUGUGUCUAUAUAUAUCGACCGAGUUGAAGCCUCAAGAGGAGGAAAGGAUCGACCCCGACCCGACCCGAAGUCCCGACCCCAACCAGAGAGAGGCGCGCGCGUGCGGGUGCGGUGCGGUGCGGAUCGGAUCGGAUUGGGCCGAGUCCCCGACCCCACACCACACACCCCCUCCUCUCCCCGUCCGCGAGGGCUCCGGCCUCUCCUCCCUCCCGCGAUCCCCUUCCCCUCCGCCUCUCGCCGCCGCGCCGCGCCUCGCCGCGCCUCCAGCCAUCGCCGUCGACCGCGCGCGCGCGCGAGAGGUUCGUCUCCGUCCUCCUCCAUCCCAUCUCUCUCCCCUUCCAUGGAUAUUUCCUUCCUCUUCUCUCGGGUUUCUUCUCUUCUACUUGAUGAGAUUUUGUAUGCAUGUAUGUAUGUGUGUGCGUGGGGGGAUUGGAUUGAUUGGAUUUGGAGCGCGCCUUAGAAAUUCGAGGGGUUUCCUGCGCUCUGUUUGCUUUGCUCCCUAGAUUUGCCACUCCGAUUUCAAACUCUUCGAGUACCAACCAACCCUUGCGGUAUUUUUGCUCUUCGAAUGAGGUUAUGAGAUCUCAUGAGCCACUUAGUUUUCAGACAUGCAGAUGCGCGCAUGUCGCCUCCAUGUUGCCGGCGUACCAUCUGUUUUUUUUUUCUUCUGUUAUUUUUUUCGUUUCAUAAGAUUACCAUGUGCUAGUAAUUACUGUGAGUGAUUUUAUCAGAGACCCACUAAUUUUUUAUGCCUUAAUUUGUUUUCUCUCAUUUUUUGCAGAGCGGCUGUACGCGAUUCACAUGUGCGGUAAUUUACCUGCCUACUGCCGCCAACCAGAAGUGGAAUAUACCCUAUCCUAAUUUUCUUUCUUCGGAUGAAAGGUCUGCCAGUCUGCGUCAGCUAUGGCACAGAGUUCGUCCCGGCUUCACCGCCUGCUCACAUUGCUAGACAGUAUCCUUUCUGCAAGACUAUGGUUCGCUAUGCUUGCAGUUUUACAGAUGAUCACACGCUAUGCUAGGUUAUACUCUGUACCGAUUCUCUGAUAAACUAAGCAAAUUGCCUCAUGAAAUGUGCAAAUUAGCUGGGCUAAAACGUACAGUCUAUGCUUUUGCAGUCGAACAUAUAUCAUUUGAUAUCCCCUUUGGUUUAUCUAUCUAUUGUGCAAAGUUUCCUUUAACACAACUAGCUGGUUCCACGCAAGCGACAAGGUUCGCUGCUGCACGGCAAAUUGGAGAAAUUGCCAAGUCCCACCCCCAGGAGCUAAAUGUCUUACUCAAAAAGGUAUACCAACAAUUCCACCACCUGCUAGUUUUGUGGAUCCUUCUACCUGAAAAUGUUUGCUUAAUAUAAUAUGUGUAAGCUAUGAUGUGUGAUGUGCGAAAUGCCCAACUUUUAGUUUCUUCAAUUCAUGCUUCGCUUGCUUGGUAGCACAAAAAUGAACCCUGCAGUUUUAUGUUAUGCUGAAUUUUCAGUGGUGUUGAAGUUAUAGAUUUUCCUUUUCUCGGACAUGCAGGAUAUCUGCAUUAUCAUUAUAUUAAGAAGGAAAAGGGUAAAAGAACCCUGAUUACAAAACACCCACACACCCCAGCUCUCAGGCUACAUGCCUGUCCGUGCUAACAAGGACCACACGCAGAAAAGAAAACAGCGACCAAAACUGCCCCUCUUCAACCUGAAACUAAACACGAGGCUGUAGACAGUUAAGAAGGAUAGCCCUCUAGCCUCAGCCAAACACCAAAACCGCCCCUCCUCUUCAGCAAGCAGGAUGGCACUAGCCAAGUUUGGAGCAGCACUAUUGAGGGCACAUCGGUUUCGAUGCUUCCAAAGCGUCCAAGCACCAAGAAUGACUAGAGAAUUAAGGCCCUGUUGCACUGGACCGUUGGUUGCCUCGUUGGUCCUGUUCCACCAAAAUACCCUGACCAAAGCGCUGUCGGAGUGAGAACCAAAAUUUCCUCGCGAAGACACAACUAGUGAGUAGAUAGAUGAUUAUUUCAUCAGCUUGGUCGCAAUGAGGGCGUUGAAGUUAUAGAUUAAAUAUCAAACUUUGAGGGAUAUAUGAUUUUGUGUGAUGUCUGUUGUAAGAUGCAAUGCCCUCCCAUGCAUUGAUUGAUGGAUGUUUGUUCUAUGAGAAGUAACUAUUACUGCCUUCAUUAUCUAUUAUAUCAAGGUAGUAACAUGCUCAUCCACUGGAGAACAAGCUUGUUUUCUUUUUACACAUGUUCUGCGGAGAAUGGCUGGCUGAUAUUUAUGCUUUUAUGUUAUGGUUUUAGGUUUCUCCAUAUUUACGUAGUAAGAAUUGGGACACAAGGGUCGCAGCAGCCCAUGCGAUUGGUGCCAUAGCAGAGAACGUCAAACACACAUCGGUGAAAGACUUGUUCGCAUCUGCAGAAGCAGAAAAACAUGCUUCUGGGUUGUCUGGAAUUGGUGAUGUUGGGUCAACGUUGCGGCAUGCUGAUACUACUGCAACAUCUGAGCUUGCUUUUGGAAGGUUUGUUGAGAAUUCUUUGAAACUUUCCUAGUGCUUAGUAGACCUUCCCGCUCUUCUUUUUUGCCUAAUUGGAAAUGGACAAACUAAUUCCGUUUAACUUCUUUUUACAGCUUCGAUAUAAACAGGGUGUUGGAAUUUGGAUCUCCUUUAUUGGCAUCAGGUGGACAGGUGUAUUUUCUUCUUACCAUUAUUUUGCCUUGUCAUAUUUAAUGAAUACAAUUAAAAUACUGUGGUUUUUUUUUCAGGGCAAUGUUAUUUUCAGAUUCAAUCCAUUUUUUUCUUUUCUGAUAGUGUCAUGCAUCCAUCUAUUGUUUGUUUUUCUUUGCCAUAUGUCAACUUCUUGAGGGCUUUCUAUUUUUCUUACUAGGAACAUAGUGAAUCGAAAGCACUUGACACUUAGAAGUAAAAUAGAUCAAGCCUCUUCCAUUGCACUGAAUUUUCGUUUUUGACAUAAAACUGCAUUGAAUAUUGUAAUGUAUAGGUUACUUACUUUGCUGCUAACUCGAGGAAAAGAAUUUUAGUGGAUAAUGUUUAAAUCUAGGAACAUAUUCUGAAGCUCCUCAAUAUAAUUAUUUCUCAAAUUCUGGAGAUACACACAAAAUAACCUCGAAUUUCUUUGUCUAUACCAAGAUUUUUUUAAAAUUUUUGUUUUAAGGUGUACUUGGCAAUUCCAUUCCAUUUCUUAUUUGUUUAUGGUUUCAUGGUAUGCAACAUGUGAAAGCUAAUGGGGAUUAUUGCUUUUGUGCUUGCUACUAGGAAUAUGACAUUGCAAAUGAUAACGGCAAAAAUCCAGCAGAGCGUUUAGCUCGCCAAAAGCAAAAUCUCCGGCGUCGUUUAGGUUAUACUUCUCUCUUACAUCUUAUUGUUGCUACUUUUUAAUUUUCACUUUAUGGCACUCACCGCACCACUGCCACAAGGUUCUUUCUAUAGUGAAGACUGCACCUGUAUUCUGCAAAGUAUCGUUGUACUCUGAUAUAUCUUUGAACUUUUUGUUGUUGUGUUGGAUUUCUCAUUCCUUUCAUGUUUCUGUUCUAGUGCAGGUCUGGAUGUAUGUGAGCAGUUCAUGGAUUUCAAUGAUGUUAUCAAAGACGAGGACCUUCUUGCCCAAAAGAAUUAUUGGGGUGCAAAUAUGCAAAACAAUGGAUUCUAUUCAUUUAAUACUGGUCAGAAUAUUCAGCACUUGGUUGCAUCUAUGGUUCCCAGGUAUCCCAAACAUUCCAAUUUUCGCUCCAGGCGAUUAAGCGCCAGGGAGCUCAAUAUGCUGAAGCGUAAAGCAAAAAGCAAUGCAAAAGAUCAUACAAAGGCUGUACCCGAGGAUGAUGACGUUGUGCCAAAAAGUUCUGGACCGUCUAACGGGGCCUCUUCUGAUCAAGUUGGUUCACACAACACAUGUUCUGUCAAUUGUACUAUAUUUUUCUAAGAUUUUAGUAUCCUCCCGCACAAUUUUUUAUUUUUCUGGGGUCAUUUAUGAGAUGGUCAUUAAUUCCACAUUCUUAAAUUAUCGGGAGCCUUGGUAGAGGUUGUAAAACUUUGUUUCUGAUUGUUCUCAAUUGCUAGCACAAACUAUCAUGUCUGAAUAUGUGGCGCAGUGCAAGUAAGUUAAGUGCAUUUGUGGGUGUGUGUUCUUCCAUGCAUCAUGCAUGUGUGGUUUGUUGACUUGUUAUUGUUGGCAUUCCUGUUUGGCAAUUUACGCAGUUGCACUGGAGCAUUCUGUUGGGAUGGCUUUGUCUUCAAUCUGUGAUGAUCUAAUCACCCCACUUACAUUUUUUCAGGAUACAGUUGAUGCAAUCACAGAUGAGGACAAUCUGGAGUACAGUGAGAAUGGGAGAUGGCCUUUUCAACAGUUUGUAGAUCAACUUAUUCAUGACAUGUUUGACCCUAGUAAGUUCAUUAUCUGUCUUGUCUCUGAAAUUUGUCCCAUUCUUAUCUCGCUUACAAUCUUUUUACUGAGUGUUGUAUUGUAGUUUGGGAAGUUCGCCAUGGCACCAUUAUGGCUUUGAGGGAAAUUUUGACGCAUCAAGGUGCUUGUGCUGGAGUAUAUUUUCCUGAUCUGAACUCACCUUUCGCUGACCUUGAUGAUAAAAACAAUUUGGACUCCCUGAAAAGAGCACAUGGUAUUGAUCUUAAUGAAGACAUUGAUUCGGGACAGCUCGAGCCAGUUUUGAAAAGACAAAAGAAAGAGGAGUCUAAUCCAGAGGUUAUGGACAUUCAGUUGGAUAAGGAGCCAAGUAACGGUGAUUAUUCCAAAACAGAGGCAAGUCUGAGUACUGAGCCUACUGUAUCUAGUGGUGAACCAAAUCUUGCUCAUGCAAAGGUUGAAUCACCCUUCCAGGUUGAUGGUUCAGCUAACCCAUCUAAGGUGGAUCCAUAUUGUACACCACCUCACGAAACACUCAACUCCAUGCCCAAACUGAGUUCUACCCAUCUCCCUGAAAAUUCAAAAUUUAUAAAGCUGAUGAAACUAGCGAACUACUCAGCGGUAAAAAAUUGGGAAUUUCUUCAAGACUGUGCAAUUCGUUUCCUUUGUGUACUUUCAUUGGACCGGUAUGUAUCUCUGGACUUAUAUACUUUUUGUGUGUAUUUGGUUGUCUUGGCUAUUAGUCUUAUUAUUUUUUUUUGCCUUUGUUCUUCCUGUAGCUUUGGUGAUUAUGUAUCUGAUCAAGUGGUUGCUCCUGUUCGUGAAACUUGUGCUCAAGCUCUUGGUGCAGUUCUGAAGUACAUGCAUCCGACUCUAGUAUGCCAUACACUGAAUAUUUUGCUGCAAAUGCAGGUGUGUCCUGUAGUAAUUAUUUGUCUUGCUGUUGUCAACUUCAAAACAGUACAUUCUCUGUUGUCAUCAUCAUCACCAUUUCCGUCCUUUUCUUUGUUCUUUCAGCGCAGGCAGGAGUGGGAAGUUCGUCAUGGGAGUCUCCUUGGAAUUAAGUAUUUAGUUGCUGUUCGUCAGGUGAUUGCUAAUGAGAAAAACUAUAACCUAAUAGGCUAAUUCAAUCGUCUUUGUGCAUAUAUGACCAGAGGGGCAGUAGUAGUUGGCUUGCUACCAAGUCAAGUUUUGCUUUUCAUAUCUCUACACUAGAGGAACUUAGGAGUUCUGAGAAACAUCCUCUUCUGUUUACUAAUAUUUGUUUUUGACGCCUAAUUUAUGUGUAAAAUUGCUAUAAUAUUGUUUCCUUCCCCACCAGGAAAUGCUUAAAGACUUGCUUAAUUAUGUUCUUCAUGCCUGUAAAGCUGGUCUGGAGGAUCCAGAUGAUGAUGUCCGGGCUGUGGCUGCAGAGGCUCUGAUCCCAGCUGCUGCUUCUUUAGUUAGACUAAAUGAUCAAAUGCUACAUUCAAUUGUGAUGUUGCUUUGGGAUAUAUUGCUUGACCUUGAUGAUCUAAGCCCUUCUACAAGCAGGUAUGUUCAAUCAUGCUUUCCUCAUUUAGUAAACACAUUGUUUGCGUAAUGUUGAACACUGAGCCCAUGUUAUACAUUAUAUGGUCCAUCUACUUCCGAUUUCUAAUCUUAUUUUGAAUCCAGUCACCUGUUCCCAGAUAAGGAAUUUAAAAUGUUGGAUAGUUGUUCGUUGCUCUUUUAUUCCGUUUAAAGUUGACUGUACUCAUGCCACAAUAAAUAUUCUGUAUUUCUCAUGUCCAAAUUUCAUUUUUGUUUCAGUGUGAUGAAUUUGUUAGCUGAGAUAUAUUCUCAACCAGAGAUGGUUCCAAAGAUGCUUGGCACAACAGCCAUAGGUGGAGACAACGAAUUUGAUCUAAACAGUGUAACUCUGGUUGCCGGUGAAGAAAAAAUGGGUUCUAAUGAUAAUCCUUAUGUCUUAGCCGCUCUGACACCCCGAUUGUGGCCUUUUAUGAGACAUAGUAUUACAUCAGUCCGGCGUUCUGCUGUACGAACAUUGGUAAGAAUUACAUGGAAUUUGAGAUCCACUGUAGUUUGAUUGUGCUGCAGUAUCAGGUGCCCAUUCGAGUUGAGUAUGAGUUAUAUAAAUGAGAAACAGAAUUGUAAUGAAAAAUAUCUGCAAUAAUUUACCGGGUGAAAUAGCAGUUUUGAGCCAUCUUGUGUAUGUUUUCUACAUUGUUUUGCCAAGAAAAACCAACCUAUCCUUGGGAUUUUGCCAAUCUGGAGUUGGAUAUUCCACUCUGUUCCCAUGUGCAAUUGGUUUUUGCUGUAAGCUUCUGAAUGCCAUUUGUUAUGCUUUCCUAGUUAAAAACCGUGAAGUUCAAACUUUUUGUAGGAGAGGCUUCUCGAGGUUGGGAACACCAGGAAUUCAGCUAAACUAUGGCUUGCAUCUAUAUUAGGUGAUGCGCUGCAAGUUGUCUUCCAGAAUCUUCUUUUGGAGUCAAAUGAUGAGAUUAUUCGAUCUUCUGAAAGGGCUUGGAAACUUUUACUUCAGGUUACUGAUGUUCUGGCUUUCCGGGUGUUGUGAAUUUACUCAAUUCAUAGAAAUUUAAUGAUCAUGUCUAUUACAGGAUUAUAGUAACAAACAAAAAUAUUUCUAUGCUUGUAGUGCCCUACGGAGGACCUUGAGUCUGCUGCAAGUUCAUAUUUUAGUAAUUGGGUGCAACUUGCCACUACUCCAUAUGGCACAGCAUUGGAUUCUGCAAAAAUGUUUUUGCCAGUUGCACUUCCACGAGGAAGUCGUUCAAGAGCUGCUGCAAAGAUCAAAUCUGCAAGGUUAGAACAUGAAAAUACGAGAAUGAUAUCUUUUGGUUCUACCGGAGAGAACACUUCACAGGAAAAGCAUUCUGAAGCUUCCUUGAGUGUUUCAAAAAUAAUUGUGGGGUCUGAUUCGGACAAAUCUGUUACUCAUACGCGAGUGCUGACGUCAAUGGCCCUUGGUCUGUUUGCCUCUAAGUUGCCAGAGGGGUCGUGGCAAGUUGUUCUUGGUCCACUAGCAAGCGAUCUCAUGUCUCUCUCAGGAGUCCAGAGACAGGUAAGAAAAAACCUUAUGUUUUAGUGCAUAAAAGCAUUCAAUUCAACUACUUGUUUUGCACUCAUAAUUUUCUAUCGCUCCAGGUGGCUUCUAUGGUUAUUGUUUCUUGGUUUAAAGACCUCAGAAAAAGUGAUCCUGCUGCGGUGGGUACAUUGCUAGCUUUCUUAUCCUCCCUGAAAGGGUGGAUGUUGGACUUACUGGCUUGCUCUGACCCUUCAUUUCCUACAAAAGAUUCUCCGCUUCCAUAUGCUGAGCUUGCAAGAACAUACAGGAAGAUGCGCAAUGAAGCCAAUAAUUUGUUCCAGUCAAUAGAAUCUUGUGCUCUUCUUAAAGAGUAUACAAGCAACUUAAACUUUGAAGCUGACAUGCUGAGUGUUGAUGAUGCUAUUAACUUCACUUCAAAGCUUUUGUUACCAUCUGAACCUGAUUUUAGUUUGGACAGUGAUAAAAUUGUCUUGAACAAUAUAGAGUCAGCAAAACAAGGUCUAUUGUCUACGUCAGGCUACUUGAAAUGUGUUCAGGUAUGUGAAAUUUCUAAUUAGGGUGUCUUCAGAUUUAUAUUAAUGUGUUAGAAUUACUUGUUGCAUCUGUCUAGUUCUGAUUUUUUUUAUCCUUUUUAUUAGCAAUAUCAUAAAAUAGGUUUCCUUGUUUGAUGAUGUUCUGCAGAAUAAUUUGCAUGUGACAGUUUCCUCUUUAGUGGCCUCUGCUGUAGUCUGGAUGGCAGGGCUGCCUAGUAAGUUGAACCCAGUCAUUUUGCCUUUAAUGGCUGCUGUAAAAAGGGAACAGGUACGACAUAGUAUUCUUAUGCUCUUAAAUUUUGUCUUAGAUGUAAGCUCAAAUGGUUCCAUAUCAUUUAGGAGGAAAUACUUCAGGACAAAGCUGCAGAUGCACUUGCUGAGCUCAUUUUUAGUUGUGUUGGCCGCAAACCUGGCCCAAACGACAAACUAACAAAGAACCUCUGCACGUUAACAUGCACUGAUGCAAGUGAGACACCUCAAGCUGCAGUUAUAAACUCAAUUCAGGUUAUUGAGGACCAAAACUUGCUGUCGAUUGGUAAGCGUUUUAGCAAUCACAAAUCCAGGGGCCAGAUGACUUCCGGUGGUGAAUCGAAGUCGGAGGGUUUUAUAAGCCGGCGUGGAUCGGAGUUGGCUUUUAAGCAUCUUUGUGAGAAAUUUGGAGCAUCCUUAUUUGAAAAGCUUCCCAAGUUAUGGGAUUGCCUUACGGAGUUUCUUAAACCCGUCAAGACUGGAGAUGAUCUUAUGAAAGAAGAUCCAAGUAUUGCGCAGUUAGGAAGAUCUUGUGAGGACAAGGAACCGCAGUCCCUUAUAAAUAAUAUCCAGGUUUGUUUUAUAAAUUAAUUUGAAUUCAAUUGGUUCCCUUUUGUUUUGGCAUAAAACUGCUACAUGAUGUUGGAUUAGACCAUCAUGUCAUAUCAAUAUGAAUCAAUAUAUCUUUGGUUACUUGCUACUAUUUAGUAUAAACUGGUUUGGUUCCAUUUUCAUCUCUUGCCAUAUUUCUAAUGCCAUUUCUGCUCCUCCUCACAGGUUGUUCGUUCGGUUACACCUCAUUUGGCUGAGCCCUUGAGGCCUCAAUUGCUAAGUCUCCUUCCCUGUAUUCUUGGUUGUGUGCGCCAUCCUCAUGUCGCUGUCAGGUUAGCUGCUGCAAGGUGCAUCACAUCAAUGGCAAAAUCAUUGACUGCUAAUGUAAUGGUAAUUGUGAUAGAAAAUGUCAUACCGAUGUUGUCAGAUUCAUCUUCUGUCUGUGCAAGGCAAGGAGCUGGGAUGCUUUUGAGCCUUCUUGUUCAGGGUUUGGCUGUGGAGUUGGUUCCUUAUGCUCCUUUCCUUGUUGUUCCUCUUCUAAGGUGUAUGAGUGAUCCUGAUGGUUCUGUUAGACAGACUGUAACUCACAGUUUUGCUGCUCUGGUUCCUUUGUUGCCAUUAGCAAAAGGUUCUUUGUUACCGGAUGGACUGAGUGAACGCUUAUCUAGCAGUGCAGAAGAUGCGCAGUUUCUAGAGCAGCUCCUCGACAACUCCCAAAUUGAUGAUUACAAGCUCAGCAUUGAUCUCAGUGUUGAACUGCGAAGGUCUGUAACUAUCUUAAAAGCUCCUUUAUUGGAAUGUGGCUUGACGACGUUAUUCUACUUAGUUUGAGAUAGUGUAUUGAGUGCUAUUGUGGAUACCAUACAUAAUAAUACUUGUUAUAAUGAUUAUUAUUUGAUGUUCUUUUAACAAAAUGUUGUGGAUCGCUACAGGUACCAGCAAGAAGGAAUUAACUGGCUAGCAUUCCUUAGACGGUUCAAGUUACAUGGAAUUUUAUGUGAUGACAUGGGUCUUGGCAAAACACUCCAGGCGUCUGCUAUUGUAGCAGCUGAUAUUGCUGAGUCACGUGCACGGAAUGAUGAGCAAGAUCCGAAAUCUUUGAUUAUCUGCCCUUCUACAUUAGUAGCACACUGGGAAUAUGAAAUAGAGAAGUACAUAGACAGCUCUAUCAUGAAACCUCUUCAGUACAUCGGUUCAUCACAAGAUAGGAUUAUCCUCCGUUCUCAGUUUGAUAAGUUCAACGUAAUCAUAACGUCAUAUGAUAUUAUACGCAAGGAUAUUGAUUUUCUUGAGAAUGUCUUUUGGAACUAUUGUGUGCUGGAUGAGGGGCACAUAAUAAAGAACUCAAGAUCUAAAAUAACAUCUGCUGUGAAACAAUUGAAAGCACAACACCGUCUUAUCCUCAGCGGUACUCCAAUUCAGGUAAAAUUUCAUUCAUGAAUCUUGUUGGUAUGCUUUUCGUCUAGCUGUUGCGGUUCGCUUUACAUUGCACUUUUUAUUUCAUUGUUCAUGUUCUUUGUAGAUAAUUCCAUCGAUCCAGUACUGAAAUUGGUAUUACUAUUUAUUUGACACAUUCCACUAUAAUUGCAGAAUAAUGUAUUGGAGCUCUGGUCUCUAUUUGACUUUCUUAUGCCUGGAUUUCUUGGGACAGAAAAACAGGUAAAUGUGCUAUGAAUUCAACUUUACUUACAGAACUGAAAGCUAAGAAUUUGGUCGUUGACAUGAACCAUGCCUUUUUUGUUCAAGAACUUAGUUUAGUUUUUAACAUGUUCCUGAUUUACUCUUACGCUAGCUUCCAAGCUUAUUAGUUAGUUCAGGAAUAAUAUAUGGAUCUAUGGACUUGCUAGUUAGUUCCAAGCUUAUUAUUAGUUAGUUUAGUUUUUUUGUUAUUCACUGUGGACUUGCUCAGAGCGACAGGUGAUAUAUGGAUCUGCCUUAUCUGGGCCGUUACACUUUCUUACAUAUGAUGCUUGCAAAUGAUAUCUAUGUUUAGUUGUGUUAUAGGUGCUAGGCUGCUUGAUAAAUCAUUAGUAGUUUGAUGACAUGCAUCUGUAGAAAAAGACAUUGGUGACUAUAUUGUAUUAAUGUAAGUGGACAUAUAUGGCUGUGUUCGGAUGAGGGGGUUCCCAACCCCCUCUCCCUCGCAUUCCGUGCGCACGCUUUUCAAACUACUAAACGGUGUGUUUUUUGCGAAAAGUUUAUAUACGAAAGUUGUUUAAAAAAAAUCAAAUUGAUCCAUUUUUGAAAAAAAAUAGCUAAUACUUAAUUAAUCACGUGCUAAUGGACUGCUCUGUUUUCCGUGCGGGGAGAUGGGUUCCCAACCCCACAUUACAAACACACCCAUAGAAUGUUUUAACCAACCAAAGAUGAAAUUGUUUCUGCUUUCAUGAAGGGGUGGAUUUUUACUAGUCCUGACUCUUGAUAAUUACCUUGGUCUAUUCUGAUAUGAAGUAUUUGUGCUGAAAUUAAAUACAAUGUUAAUUAUGCAGUUCCAAGCUACAUAUGGAAAACCAUUGCUAGCAGCAAAAGAUCCAAAAUGUUCAGCAAAGGAUGCUGAAGCUGGCAUUCUUGCUAUGGAGGCACUGCAUAAACAGGUUUUUAUCUUCUGUAGUAGACUUGAAGUCUUUAAAAAUAACUGGGGGUUUUGAGUCUUGUGACCUUUGUUGACAAGUAAAAGUCAUUUUGCUAUACUAGGUCAUGCCGUUUCUACUUAGAAGAACAAAGGAUGAAGUUUUAUCUGAUCUUCCUGAGAAGAUUAUCCAGGAUAGAUAUUGCAAUCUCAGUCUAUUGCAGCUCAAACUUUAUGACAAAUUCUCCAACUCCAAUGCCAAACAAGAGAUUUCCACUAUAGUAAAAGAAAAUGAAUUAGAUCAAUCCACUUCUCAACCAAAGGCAACUCGUCAUGUGUUUCAGGUACUGCAGUUAGACAAACAUUUUAGCUUUCUCAUUCUGCAUUUCUUAUGUGGUAUCGUGUUUGCGUUUUAAUUGAAUAUGCUUUUGUAAUGCAGGCACUGCAAUAUCUAUUAAAACUUUGUAGCCAUCCUUUACUUGUAACUGGGGAAAGCCCACCUGAUUAUCUUGUGGACCUUCUAAAGGAAAUCGGUAUGGGAACUGGUGAUGAGCUUCAUGACCUACACCAUUCCCCUAAACUUGUUGCUCUCCAAGAGAUACUUCAGGAGUGUGGUAUAGGGUCAGAAAUAUCAAGCCCUGAUGCUUCUGCAGCUAUUGGGCAACACAGAGUUUUGAUUUUUGCUCAACACAAGGUACUGAGUCUGUUCUCUUAUUGAGACUAUGUAUCCCUGUUUCUUUUGGUAUAUUUUCAUCCUUGUCAUGUUUAUAAACAUUCUUUUCUCCAGGCUUUGCUUGACAUUAUUGAGAAGGACCUGUUUCAAUCCCAUAUGAGAAGGUGAGUUUUAUAUAUUGUGAUGUACAUCAGCUUCAUGAAGAAUUCAUCAUGCCAGUGUGUUGUCUGUGUUGCAACAGAUUUGAAAAAAAUAUAUCAUGAGUUCUAAACUGAAAAAUUAUAUAUAUAUAUUUAUAUAUUUUGAAAAAUCAUAUAAUAUUCAAUCAAACAUCAAUCAACAAAAAACUCAAUCCAUAUGCACAAAAGACAUUUAUCCGGUCCUAGAAGAUACGGUGAGAUCGCAGUUUCACCACCACCACCAGUAGCAGAUUCUUUUAUAUAGUAGAGAUUAAUAUUAGCUGAUGCAAAUUAUUUUAAGCAUCUUGCUUUAUGUUGUUUUAUCUUGUGUUUUAUUAUGCUUGGAUAUUUGUACUUUCUAGAGUACUGCAGUGCUGUUUUAUCUUUGAGUAACUGUAAAUAUAAGGUUGUCGUUGGCCUAGUUGAUAACUGACUAAAAAUACACACUUCUGUUUCUCAGUUUCCUGCCUGUGCUCAUCUAAUCAGCAAACUUUUGAUAUUCAUUCAGCGUUACAUAUUUACGGUUGGACGGCUCUGUUGAACCAGAGAAGCGAUUUGAAAUUGUGAAGGCAUUCAACUCAGAUCCAACCAUUGAUGUGCUCCUAUUAACAACUCAUGGUAGGUUUGGAGAAUGCCAUAUGGAUCAGGGAUUUACUCCUAGAUAUAUAUACUAGAAAAGCUAUAUCUGAUUCUUUCCUGUUGCAGUCGGUGGGCUUGGAUUGAAUUUGACAUCUGCUGACACAUUGGUCUUUAUGGAACAUGAUUGGAACCCAAUGAAGGAUCUUCAGGUUUGCUUUUGCAUAUUUUAUCAACGAUAAGGCUACCAUUAAAUUUCCUCCACCAUUUUCAAGCUAUCCUCUGUGAAACAAACGAACAAUACUCCCCUCUUACAGGCAAUGGACAGAGCACACCGUCUGGGUCAAAGGAAAGUGGUAAACGUGCACCGUCUCAUCAUGCGCGGUACCCUGGAAGAGAAGGUGAUGAGUCUUCAAAGGUUCAAGGUGUCGGUGGCCAAUGCGGUCAUCAAUGCUGAGAACGCCAGCCUGAAGACAAUGAACACUGACCAACUGCUUGAUCUGUUUGCUUCGACGCCUGCUUCCAGAAAAGUAAAUCCCUUGUGACCAUAUAUCUCGUAUAGAAAAAACUUUUGUAAUUUUUAUUCUUUAUUUGGGUUUAUGAUCCUUUGUCUAUGGCCAUACGCAGGCGUCUGUACUCCCAAGCAGUUCGGGUGGUGAUCAGAGUAAAGAUUCCAAGGGGAAAUCUGGUGGGAAGGGUUUGAAGUCCAUUCUGAAUGGUCUGGACGAGCUAUGGGAUCAGUCUCAGUAUGCAGACGAGUACGAUCUCAACCAGUUCUUGGCGAAGCUCAACGGCUGAACACACGAUCACCGGUCCUGUACAGUGUAAAGCGAAUUGGGGCGUGUGAUGAACAGGUUGGCAGAUUUUGUUGGCAACCACAGGAGUCAGAAAUUUUUUUGUUGUUUCAUACGGAAGAAGGGAAAAAAAAAGGAAGAUCGCAAGAUCUAGAGCAAUGUGGCUAACAUAUAGGUGCUUGAGAUGGUGAUCUCAAAUUUUUGUCUUUUGAGCUUUUGGUUAGGAGGGUUUAGAGAGAGAUAGAGCUAGUCUUGAGAGGAGUUGUAUAUACUAUCUGCUCAUUAUAAUAAUUAAUCAAAGGCUGCAGCUCCUUGUAAAUUUUGCCUUGAGUUGCUUACUGUUUCUACCUUUUACUUGGCCUAGUAACUGAGCUAUCCAGUGGUGUAGUAAGCCUGCCUACUGGGAACGCGGAUCAUUUUUGUCUCGCUAACAUGUGAAAGUAAUAGUAAGAUCGGGUAAAAACGGAAAAGGGGUGAUACAUUCUUGCCUAUCAAUCCUUGCUCGUCUGAAUCCCGUUUUGGCCGCUAAGGAAGUUCCCAAAAAUUUUUCCUGUUCAUUGUCUGAAUCCCGUUUUGGCCGCUAAGGCCGUUUUGGACAAAUGUAUAGAGCACAAAAUAUAUAUUAAAAAAACUAAUUGUACAGUUAUGGAGAAAUCGUGAGCUUAAUCAGUUCAUGAUUAGCCAUAAGUAAUACAGUAACCCACAUAUACUAAUGACGGGUUAAUUACUUAAUUUGGCUCAAAAGAUUCGUCUCGCGGUUUCCAAGCGAGUCAUGAAAUUAUUUUUUUCAUUCGUGUCCGAAAACCCCUUCCAAUAUUUAGUCAAACAUCUGAUGUGAUACCUAAUUUUUUUUUCGUGAACUAAACGGUCCCUAAAAGGAAGUCAUCUCAGCCAAUGUGAAACUGAUGACCUUUCAUUCCCUUCUAUUCUUUCAUCGUUGUAAUUGUGACAUGUUAGACUAUAACUUUCAUCAGUUAGAAAUUGAUCCCUUGGUCUCCCUUUAUUAUUAUUUUUUGUUCGACCCUUGCUUAGGCCAUGUUUAGUUUCAAAGGUUUUCUUCAAACUUUUAACUUUUCCAUCACAUCAGAACUUUCCUACACACAUAAACUUUCAACUUUUCCAUUACAUCGUUCCAAUUUCAACCAAACUUCUAAUUUUGAUGUGAACUAAACACAACCUUAGAUGCAUAUCUUUUCAAUGUCCUUUGUUUCUACAUAGCCUACAUAGUAAGGGUAGAAGCGGUGUGGAAAUUUUCUAACCAUACCGAUACAGUUUCCCUAAAAUAUUACAUAGUCAUGCUGUAGCAGCACUCGGAAUAUAUAUGAUCUAGUUAGACUAGUUCUUCUCUCAACUUUCUCAGUCUCCCCUUUAUUUUUCACACGCACGUUUCCCAAACUACUAAACGAUAUGAUUAUUUUUUUUUGAAAAUUUUCUAUAGGAAAUUUGAUUUAAAAAUCAUAUUAAUCCAUUUUUAUUUUUAAACUUAAUACUUAAUUAAUCAAGGGGGUCAAUCCACUGUUUCAUUUUUCGCAUAGGGAGGAGUUCCCAACUACUCCCUCCGUCCCUAAAUAUUUGACGCCGUUGAUUUUUUUUAAUAUGUUUGACGGUUUGUCUUGUCAAAAAAUUUAAGUAAUUAUUAAUUCUUUUCCUAUCAUUUGAUUCAUUGUUAAAUAUACUACUAUUACUCAAGUUUUUGAAUAAUAUUCACAAAAGUUUUUGAAUAAGACAAACGGUCAAACAUGUUUAAAAAAGUCAACGGCAUCAAAUAUUUAGGAACUAAAAGAGUACUACAAACGAACGAAGCCUAGGCUUCUCCAUAUAAGGCUGUGUUUAGUUCACAGCAAAAUUAAAAGUUUGGUUAAAAUUGAAACGAUAUGACGGAAAAGUUGGAAGUUUGUGUGUGUAGGAAAGUUUUGAUGUGAUGAAAAAGUUGGAAGUUUGAAGAAAAACUUUGGAACUAAACCAGGCCUAAAUGAACAUUCGAUGGCUCCUCUAGAAACAUUCUUGAUCUUAGCAUUCAGUUUGGAAGAUGAAAUGGCAUUCACACGAGCAUUGCAGAUUUUCAUGGUCCAUCUGGCUAGCAGAGACCAGAGCGUCGUCUGCAAAUGCAUGAUCUGAGCAAACCUUUGCAGUCUUUGCUGCGUUGCGUUGACGGUCAGUCAACCCACACACACACGCAUCAUGCAACACAUUGACAGAUUGGCCUUAACUUCACUCGGUAAUUUAUUUCAUCGCUGUAACUAUGGCAUGUUAGACUACAACUUUCAUCCGUUAGAGCAGGUACAAUAGCAGGCUGUAAACAUAUUUUAAUAAGAUAAAAGAUGAGAGAGAAUAGCAGUGGGCUAUAGAUCUAUAGCCAGCUGCAGCGUGGACUCCAAGACACAAUGUGUGUAUGACAGGUGGUACCAUAUAUUAAUAGUAUAGUAAACAACUAUCGUAUAAAUUACCUAUUAUAUUGGCUAUAAAUAAAUUAAAGUUAGUAGUGGGUUAUACUAUUAAACUUGCUCUUAGAAAUUGAUCCCCUGGCCUCCCUUUAUAUUAGUUGCAUUCCUUUGAAUGUUCCACACUUGUUUAGCGAAUUAAAUUUAAAAAUAUACUGUUAAUUUAUUUUUUUUUCUCGAAAUUUUCAGGAUAUAUUUUUUUAACAGAAAUAUAUCGUCGUUCUGUCACAAACAUUACACGAACAUGACGACGCGGGCGAGACGGCGCUACCUCACACGAUGAAAUAGCUAGACCGAGCAGUACCAGCGAGCGAGACCGAAUGGCUGGCCGAUUCAAACUGUUUAAUUAUCUGAUAUUAAUUAAUCGCUAAUUAGAAUGAUUAAUCACUUGUUAUUAUUAAUUAAUUGCUAAUUGGGUAAGUCUCUAAUUAUGCGGCAGCUCACUGGGCAAGCCGUUCGCUCUCUGCUCAUUCAUUGUGCGAGAUUGCUUGGUCUCGUUGUUUCGUCACGUGAGACCGCGCGAUACGCUAUGGUUGCGCACAGUCACCGUGCAAGACCGUCCGCGUCAUCACACCUCACGUUGUUUGAGAUCGACAGUUUAUUUCUAUUAAAAAAAUAAAUCAACAGUAUAUUUUUAAAUCAAAUCUAAUUACUUGUUUAGCUGUAUAUCUUUUCAAAAUCGAUUAUCCCUACAUAGCAUAUGUAGUAGGGGUAAAAACGGUGUCGAAAUUUUCCAACCGUACCAAUACCAUUUCUAAGAAAUAUUACAUGGGGUGUGUUAUGUUGGGCUUUUCAACCUGCUUUUACUUUUGCUUUUGCAAAAGUUAAAAGCCAACUAAAGGGCUCAAAAAUCAUAAGUACUUUUGCUCCAAAGCUGCUUUUAGUGCAGUACAAAUCUAAAAGCACCCCUACCCCUGCUUUCAUUGGCUUUUGAGUAAAAAAAAAUUACCCGCCUCUCUCAUUAUAAAGAAAACGGUUCGACAAAAAUAAAAAUUAAUUACACAGAUUACGUGUAAAUUACAAGACGAAUCUUUUAAGCUUAAUUGCUUCAUGAUUUGACAAUGUGGUGCUACAGUAAACAUUUGCUAAUGAUGGAUUAAUUAGGCUUGAUAAAUUCGUCUCGUAGUUUACAUGCGGAUUCUGUAAUUUGUUUGGUUAUUAAACUAUAUUUAAUACUUUAAAUGUGUAUAUGUAUAUUUGAUGUGACACAGUAAAAAACUUUACCCAUAAAUCUAAACACAGUCUUAAUAUUCUACGCGUGUCACAGUGUGAAAUUUUUUGUUAUGAACUAAACAGUUUGGAAGAUGAAAUGGCAUUCGCACGAGCGUUGCAGAUUUUCAUGGUACAUCUGGCUAGCAGAGACCAGAGCGUGGUCUGUAAGCCAGACAGCCCAUAUGCAUGAUCUGAGCAAACCUUGCAGUCGUUGCUGCGUUGCGUUGACGGUCAGUCAACCCACAGACACACGCAUCAUGCAACGCCAUUGUCAGAUUGGCCUUAACUUCACUCGGUAAGGCCUGGUUUAGGCCAUGUUUAGUUCCAAAAACUUUUUUUCAAAAACAUCACAUCGAAUCUUUGGACAUAUGUAUAAUAAAAAACUAAUUGCACAGUUAUGGAGGAAAUCACGAGACAAAUUUUAUGAGCCUAAUUAGUCCAUGAUUAGCCAUAAAUGCUAUAAUAACUCACAUGUGCUAAUGAUGGAUUAAUUAGGCUCAAAAGAUUCGUCAUGCGGUUUCCAGGCGAGUUAUGAAAUUAGUUUUUUCAUUCGUGUCCCAAAACCCCUUCCAACAUCUGGUCAAACGUCCGAUGUGACACCAAAAAAUUUUCUUUUCGCGAACUAAACAUACCCUUAAGUUUCCCAAAUUUUUUUCCAAAAAACAUCACAUCGAAUCUUUGGACACAUGCAUGAAACAUUAAAUAUAGAUUAAGAAAAACUAAUUGCACAGUUAGAGGAAAAUCGCGAGACGAAUCUUUUGAGCUUAAUUAGUUCAUAAUUAGCCAUAAGUGCUACAGUAACUCACAUAUGCUAAUGACAGAUUAAUUAGGCUCAAAAGAUUUGUCUCGCGGUUUUCAGGCUAGUUAUGAAAUUCGUUUUUUCAUUCGCGUCCGAAAACCCCUUCCCACAUCCGAUUAAAUAUUCGAUGUGAUACCCAAAAAUUUUCUUUUCGCGAACUAAACAGGCCCUAACUCGACUCAUUCACUCGCGAACUAAAUAGGCCCUAACUUGACUCAUUAAGGCUGUGUUUAGAUCCAAAGUUUAGAUCCAAACUUCAGUUCUUUUCCAUCACAUCAACAUGUCAUACACACACAACUUUUCAGUCACAUCAUCUUCAAUUUCAACCAAAAUCCAAACUUUGCCCUGAACUAAACACAGCCUCACUCACUCUAGUCCCAGUCAAUCUAGGUGGCUAGCUGACAGCAAAAAAUUUUCGCCAUGUCACAUCGAACGUUUGAACAUCUGCAUGAAGUAUUAAAUAUAGGUUAAAAAAUCACAUAUUGCGACUAAUUUGUGAGACGAAUCUUUUAAGCCUAAUUGCUCCAUGAUUUGAUAACGUGGUGCUACAGUAGACAUUUGCUAAUGAUGGAUUAAUUAGGCUUAAUAAAUUCGUCUAUCUGUUUACUGACGGAUUCUGUAAUUUGUUUACCUGAAUACCUCAUAUGACACCCCGCCAAAACUUUACCCCCUCGAUCUAAACACCCCUGAAUUUGCUAUACUAGUAUAUAAUAUUCUCCAGCCGGAUCCUUCCUCUCGGACGCAGCAAUGGCAAUGACGAUGCUCUUCAGUCUGCUGUUUUGCACAGCUAAGGCUACUGAUGAUUCAGGAGCAGAAACUGAAGCAGAAGCACUCCUCCGAUGGAAGUCCACUUUGAUCGACGCCACCAACUCGUUGUCGUCAUGGUCGAUUGCCAACUCCACCUGCUCU
rnacentral:lncRNA from 1 species